rnacentral:lncRNA from 1 species
UCGUUCGUCACCGAUGUGCGGGAGCUGGAGCUGGGAGCUUACGAUGGCAUACUGGGAAUGGACUGACUCUCUUGGCAUAGUCUAGUGAAUUGUCAUUGGCAAGAAAAGACAAAUCUCAUUUGAGCACGAAGGCACCAUCAUAACCUUGCAAGGUGUUUGUCCAACAGAACAGCCCACUUUGGAAGCUAUGGAACCUGAGCAAUUGUUGAAAUGGCAUGCCAGCAAUGAUAUUUGGGCUGCUGACAUCAUGGACAUCCCAGUGGAGCAUGCUCUAGCCGAGACAUCAGUGCCACCGCACCUCUGCAUUGUCCUUGAUGAUUUCGCCGACGUGUUUGCCGAACUGCGUGGCCUGCAUCCUCAUCAGCAGUAUGACCACGCCGUCACCCUCAUCAACAGUACAUGCCCUGCCAACUCAUGGCCAUACCGCUACUUACCCGUGCAAAAGGACAAGAUUGAGCGGCAAGUAUGUGAGAUGCUUCACUCCAGGAUCAUCGCACAUAGCAUGAGUCCUUUCUCCGCGGCCGUGCUCCUAGUCAAAAAGAAGGAUCACACAUGGCGGUUUUGUGUCGACUACCGGCGGCUCAAUGACAUCACAAUCAAAACAAGUUCCCUUUGUCGAUCGUCGAUGAGUUGCUCGACGAGCUUCCCAGUGCUGCUUCUUCUCCAAGCUGGACCUCUGUGCGGUAUAUCAUUAAAUUCGGAUGAAGAAAGCCGACGAGGAAAAGACGGCUUUCAAGAUGCAACAUGGGCACAUUCACUUUCAUGUCAUGCCAUUUGGCUUGACCGAUGCCCCGACAUUUGUAAUUGUUUUUCUUGAUGACAUCUUGGUGUAUAGUGCCACCCUAUAGGAACAUGAAGCUCAUCUUUGCAUGGUGCUUGCCCUUCUCCAGGAGCACAAGCUAUAUGCCAAGGCGUCCAAGUGCUCAUUUGCGUGCGACCACAUCGAGUACCUCAGCCACAUAAUUUCACGGGCUGGGGUCGCGACCGACAUCGGGAAGACGCCGGCGAUGAUAAAGUGGCCAACACCUAUCAACGCCACUAAGCUCGUAAGUGCGCUCCAUGCCAGCGCCGUCAAUGGCCACUCCUGCACCACCAUGACAUAUCAUCGUGUCAAGAAACUCUUUGUGUGGCGGGGCAUGAAGGUGGACAUUGACAACUAUGUUCAGCAAUGCACGGGCAUUCUUGCCCAGCCAGCAAGCUCGAGCCACUGCCCAUGCCAACCAUCCAAUGGCAUGACCUCACGGUGGACUUCGUCGAGGGAUUGCCGAAGUCCGAGGGCUACGACACAUUUAUGGUGGGGGUUGAUUGCUUGACGAAGUUUGCCCACUUCAUUCACUUGCGCCACUCCUUCACCGCUGCCUAAGUGGUCCGAGCAUUUUGGGACAACAUUGUCAAGCUCCAUGGCAUGCCCGCGUCCAUCGUCCCUGACCGCGACAAGGUGUUCACCAGUGCGCCGCGGAGAGAGCUUCUUUCCGGCGUGGGCUGUUGGGAGCCAAUCGAUCUAUAGUUCACGAUAGGAUACAAGCAUCGAUCUCGGUUACAACUCGAGUUCUCGCAGAGACAGUCUCGCGGAUCUUGCGGUAGGAGGAAGGAAGGUAAGAGAGGAGAAGAGGGCGCUGAGGGCGCCGGUAGCUCGGGCUUGAUCGGAGUGCUUGGUGACAGGGCACAACGCAGUUGGGAUACAUGAAAGACGGGAUGAAACUUGGCGCCCGCGGGAAGCUCUAGCUCGUACGCGACAGGGUUGGCGACGUGGGUGAUCUUGAACGGCCCGAAGUAGCGGAAGGCGAGCUUGUGGUUGGUGCGGCGGGACAUCGUAGUCUGGACAUAUGGCUGCAGCUUGACGAAGACCUUGUCGCCCACAGUGAAGGUGCGGAGCGUGCGCUUCUUGUCCGCCUGGGCCUUCAUAAUAUUGCGGGCUCGGUGGAGGUGUUCUGAAAGAACUUGCUGCAUGUGCUUGCGUUCUUCGAGCCAUUCCUUGAGCGGGGGAAGUUUGCAGGUGGAGACUGCUUCAAUUCCCCAGUGGUGGGGUUCAUGCCCAUAGAGAGCUGCAAAAGGAGAAUUAUCCAGAGCAGAGUGAUAGCUAGAGUUGUACCAGAAUUCCGCGAGAGCCAGGUACUGGUGCCACUUGUGCGGGCAGGCAUGAAUGAAAUAGCGCAGGUAGAUCUCCAGACACUGGUUGAUGCGCUCUGUUUGCCCAUCUGUUUGUGGGUGGUAUGGGGUACUCAAGUUUAGCUCUGUGCCGAUGGUCUUGAACAGCUCGUGCCAGAAACUGCUUGUGAACACUGGGUCUCUGUCGGAGACCAUAGCUUCUGACAGUCAGUGCAGUUUGUAGACGUUCUCCAGGUAUGAAUGUGCUACCUUGGCCGCCGUGAAGGGGUGACUCAGGGAAGAAAUUGAGCAUAGCGAGUGAAUUUAUCGACGACCACAAGUAUGCAGUUGUAUUUACCCGACAUGGGGAGGCCAUCGAUGAAGUCCAUGGUGACAACCUUCCAAGCACCAUCGGGGAUAGGUAAAGGCUCGAGCAGACCUGGGUAUCAGAUGCGCUCGGGCUUAGCCUGCUGGCAGACAGUGCGAGAUUGCACGUACUGGCGCGUGUGUUCCUUCAUCUUGGCCCAGGCGAAGAGUCGGCGGAGGCGCCAGUGUGUGAUUGUUGUGGCCGAAUGACCGCCGAUAGUGCCGUCGUGGAAAGCACGGAGCACGCGCUGCUGCAGGUUGGGGAGCCUCCCAGCCACAGCCUAUUGCGAAAGUAUAGCAGGCCGUCGUGCAUGGUGAAGCGCAAUUUGGGAUCUGGUCAGCGCGACAGGUCUUGGAUGAUCUUCUGGGCUUGAGGAUUGGAGUUGUAGCUGGCAGCGAUGUCUGACAACCAAGCGGGAGUGCAGACAGAGAUUGCUGUCAGGGAAGCUUCAUGUGUGCGCCGCGAGAGGGCGUCAGCCGCGGUGUUGGUGGCACCGGACCGGUAGCAAGUUUUGUAGCGCAUCCCCAGCAGUUUGGUGAACGCCUUCUGCUGCCGGGGGUGGACAGGUGCUGAUCAUCAAGGUGAAUCAAGCUGCGCUGGUCAGUUCUGAUGAGAAACUCGGCGUUGUGCAGGUAUGUCCGUCAUUGUUCUACAGCCAUUAAGAUUGCCAUACACUCUUNNNNNNNNNNNNNNNNNNCUCUUUCUCGUAAGUGGAGAGGCCUCUGUUGCGUGGUCCGAGAGGUUUGCUCAUGUAAGCAAUCGGAUGGCCAUCUUGCUGGAGGACAGCGCUGACGCCAUGGGCACAGGCGUCUGUGUCGAUGACGAACUGUUUGUUGAAAUCAGGUAGUUGCAGAACUGGGGCAGAUAUGAGCUUCUCUUUCAGACUAUCGAACGCUUGUUGUGUGUCGCUUGUCCACACAAAGAGCUGAUUCUUCAUCAGAAGGUUGAACAGGAGGGGGCGAGCAAUGAUGCCGAAGUGUCUGACGAACUUGCGGUAGUAGCCUGUCAAUCCAAGGAAACUGCGCACAUCUUUAGCGCAUUGGGGUGUCGGUCAGUGUUGAACUGCUUGAACUUUGGCCGGGUCGGUGGAAACGCCUUGGGUGUUGAUCACGUGGCUGAGGUAAGCAAUUUAUUGCUGCGCGAAAGAACACUUCGACUGUUUGACUUGCCAAUGAUCGUUCCGUAGCAGUUGUAGCACUUGAGCGAUGUGUUGGAGGUGUUCAGACAAUGUUUUACUGAAGAUGAGAAUGUCGUCGAAGAAGGAGAUGGCGCAGUCGCGUAGGACUGGCUUCAGCGUGGUGGUUAUGGCGCCAUUGAAGGUUGCUGGGCCGCCGGCAACCCCGAACGGCAUGGCGUGGUAUUCCCAGUGGCCGGAGUACGUUUGAAAUGUUGUCUUGUACUCCUCUCCUUCAGCCAUUCUAAUCUGGUGGAAUCCCGUGCGCAGAUCCAGUUUUGAGAACCACUUGGCACCAGCGAGUUCGUCAAGUAGCUCGUUGAUGAUGGGCACCGGAUACUUGCUGACGACAGUCAUGGAGUUUAGACAACGGUAGUCAAUGCAUAGGCGCCACAUGUCGUCUUUCUUCUUGACUAGGAGUGCCGGUGAGGAAAAGGGACUGGAACUCUUCUGAAUUACUCCGGCAUCAAGCAGUUCCUGAAUUUGGCGCUCGAUUUCUGUCUUGAGUUCAGGUUUGUACCUGUAUGGCCGGGGGUUGACAGGUUGCGUGCCUGGCAUCAGAGGUAUCUUUUGGUCGCACUUGCGUCUGGGUGGCAGAGUUCUUGGGUCCUCGAACACAUCAGCAUACUGUUCCAGCAGUCGGAGUACUUCAGCUGGCAUUGGUGUGUCUGUGCUGCCAUUGCUGUCCAGCGAGUUCAGAUGGACAAUGUGGGCGACAGAGGCUUGUUUGCAGGCUUUGAGCAGUUCUGGGGCAGAUAUAACCGAACACUGUGUCUGAUCCGAAGAAAUGGCAGAUAACCUCAACUGACUAGCUGAUGUAGUAACUGUCAAGUACUGAUCGAUCCAAUUGAUGUGCAUAGGACUGUGUUUCCGCAACCAGCCCAUACCGAGGAUGGCGUUGUAGGAGCCCAGCUUGAGGAUCUUGAAAUAGGUGGUGAAUUCGUGCCUUUGAGUGAUCCACUGACACUCGGGGAUACAGUGGGAGCAGGGAAUGGUGGCGCCAUUCCCCACACGCACUUUGCAAGGCCUUGACAGGGGAGCUGCGCCUGUGAGUUUGGCUGCCAGGGCGCUGUCCACAAAGGAGGUGGAGCUGCCAGAGUCGACGAGCAUCAGGAUCUCGUGUCCUUGGAGCCAUGCAUGGAGCUGAAGAACACCUGGGUCGGGGGAACCGUCAUUCGCCUGGCGCAAAAUGGUGCACAUGUUUUCUUCUUCUGAUUUUGGUGAUGCGGGUGGAGACUCAGUAUGAACAUCGUCCUGGGCGAACAUGGCGAGGAGCUCACCGACGACGUGCAUCUGGAUCGUGGGUGGGCACACGUGGUCCUUCCCCCACCGUUCUCUACACUUGAAGCAGAGGCCCUUCGCUCGGCGGAACCGUCGAAGGGCCGCGACCUUGCUGGCUUCUGACUGGGCACGUGCAGCGUCGGUCCCUCGUUGAUCUUCAUAGAUUGUUGUUGGUGUGGCUGGUCUGCUGAAGAAGGAUGGCGUGGCCGCGCGAGUGAACGAGGUUGGGUUGCGGUUGGUGGAGCGCCCGUAGGGAAGUUCACCGUCGGCUACUUCCUCCUGAAGUAGUGCCAACGAGCAAGCCGUGUCGAGGUCCGGUGGUUGUUGUACAAGCACUACCGCACGGUUGUCCGGUCUCAGCCCCUCGAGAGAACGAGUUAAGAAAAAAAUAAGGGUGAGUUGCUUCAGAUUAAGAUAUCAAAUGAUUCAUGAAGGACUCAAAACGCUCGAUGAAAUCAGCGACUGUGGUGUUCUGUUUGAUGGCAUAAAACUGGCGGAUGAACAUUUGGUGUUUGUCACGGCCGAAGCGGGUGCAGAGGAGGGAAGUGAAGGACUCCCAAUCCAACCCGAUCAACUUCUUCUGAACCAACUGCAGCCAAAUGCUUGCAGGGCCCGAGAAAUUGAGGAUGGCCAUGGGAACUCGGUAGGUAUCGUGGACCAUGAACAUCUGGAAGUAUUGCUCGCAGGGCGUCUUCCAGAGUUGUGGAUUUUCGCCUGUGAACACGGGGAAAUUCAUGGAUGUGGUUGGUUGGCCAAGGGAAGCGAGAACUGGGGCCGAAAGGGGAGGGGUGGUGAUGGGUGUGAGUUGUACCCAUGAUUGGAGUGCCGCCGGUGACACGAUGGUCGCCCCUCCACCCCCCCCCCCCCCCCCCCCCNCCUCCCCCCCCCCCCCCGCGCGCGCGCGCGGUGAGAUCAGUGUCGCCGUGGUCACUUGGCCCGUGGAGAUCUCCUCCUCGCAUAGGAAGCAGCGGAGGGAGGGCUUGCGUCACUCCAGUUGACGACGGCGGCCUUUAGAGUGGUGACCGUGGUCUCCAGCUUCGCGUAGCGGGCUUCAAGAUCUGGCUUCCAGGGGAGCAGGUCCUCGAUCUGGGAGGACUGCGUCUGCAGUUGCUUGAGGACGAAGACGGAGUCGGUCUUGGCGUCCUGAUGCGGCUUGUCCAGGUACUCCUUGAGUGUUGGAUCCAUGGCGGCGAGGGAGACUUGCCGCGCGUGGAUGCGUUGCCGGGUCUCCAGAGUGGGCGCGGCGGGGAGGAGUGGUGGUCGUCUCUGAUACUAGGAUGUUAGGAGCCAAUCGAUCUAUAGUUCAUGACAUGAUACAAGCAUCGAUCUCGGUUACAACUCGAGUUCUCGCAGAGCCAGUCGAUCUUGCGGUAGGAGGAAGGAAGGUAAGAGAGGGGAAGAGAGCCGCCGUUCGUUCUGAUCCAACUGGAUGCCAGACACGACGCGCUGGGGGGUACAAGUAGCUGGCGGUUGGAUUGCGCCGAGCCCUAGGUGGCCCACUUGGGCCCGAUGUAUCUCCUGUUGGGCUGUGCGAUCCGAGGCGGCCUGUUGGAGGUUCUGUUGCUUUGUCAGCAGUGGCGCUGACAUGGGCACGCAGCUACUGUACUCAACAGCCUACCACCCGCUGUGGAGAGAGCUUCUUGCCGGUGCUGGGUUCAGUGUGUGAGCAAGGCCUUAGCCGUGGGAGGUUGUGUUAUUUAAGUGUGUGGUGUAACCGGAAACAGGGCAUGGGAGUUGACGAUGGUAUUCUGAAUCUCACCACCUGCUCCUGUUCUCUCACCUUCUUCCUGUGCAAGCUAUUCUCCUUUUCCUCAUCUACUCUCUGACAUGAGAUCUCGAUCCCUUUCGAUUGGGUUGUCACACUUGUUUGUCCUUAAGAACUAUAUUUUGGUGUAUUUCUGUCUUACCAAUCAAUUUAAGGUCUUAACUGUUUUUGCAUACAGCUCCUUAUGCUUUCAUAGAAACUCUAAGAGAGCGGAUGUUCAAACCUUCUCUGUCAACCAUUGUCACGGAGGGCACAAAGUAUGUAUUUUGUCUGUUGUGAUGAUUUCCUUUCAACUGCAAGAUGUUUGGAUAGUGAGAAUUAGUGUGAUGUCAACUUUCAGGGUAGCAAUUAUUUCCCCUUCAGAUCCUGUGUAUGUGGCGACACAGAAAAUGCGGGAGUUUCGAGUUAAUUCAGUGGUGGUCACUACAGGGAACACAGUGCAGGGGAUCUUUACGUAAGCAUUCUGUAGUAGCAUCAUACUACUGUUAUUAUUUAUCUAUUUUUUCUUUCCAGUUAUUGAUAGAUAUUGAUUCUCAAAUGCAGGUCCAAAGAUGUUCUUAUGCGUGUUGUGUCACAGAAUCUUUCCCCAGAGUUGACCUUGGUAGAAAAGGUAUCCGCGCCCUACAUGACACUUGUCUUUCUUCAAAUGGCAUCUCAUUUUGUAUAAUUACUUAUAACUCAAUGAGUUAGUUGUGAAUUUUAUAAAGGUGAUGACUGCAAACCCUGAUUGUGCUACAUUAGACACGACAAUUCUUGACGCACUACAUAUAAUGCAUGAUGGCAAAUUCUUGCACAUUCCUGUUCUUGACAGAGGUAUGACCCAAUUCUUAUCUCAGCCUGUGAAGUGAAUAACUCGUAAGUUGCCAGAUGCUUCAUCUGGUACAUGUAUUUUUUGAACAGAGGGGCAAAUUGCUGCUUGCCUGGAUGUCCUGCAGCUUACCCAUGCAGCCAUUCAAUUGGUGAUCCCUUACUCCUUCCAGCCCUUGUCUUAAGCUCUGCCAAAGAUUCCUAUCCUAAUUUCGUCAAUGUACUAUUUAUUUUUAGGUUGAAGGGGGCAAUGGGACUGCUAAUGACGUGGCAAACUCAGUAAUGCAGAGGUUCUGGGACUCUGCGCUUGCUUUGGAGGCUCCAGAUGACGAAUUUGAUAGCCGUAGGUUCGUCCAUGGUUCAUUUGUGGAUUUCUGUGCAUAUACUUUUGGUUUCUCCCUAAUACAACGCUCUCAUACAUUGCUCAGCGAAGCAUCCUUACUUAUGGCGUCAGAAGCUGGGGAUGGACGGAGUAGUAUAUACCCCCCUAUCAUUGGUAAUUCGUUUCCCUUUAAGCUUCAAGACCGGAAGGGACGUGUGCAUAGAUUCACUUGUGGUAAGUGCUCACUUGAUAGGUUGCACAAAUAUGUUGAACCUUGUUGCAUGCUCCAGAUAUAACCUGGAUCUUUAUUUAUAUGUUAUCUUCCAUAAAAUAAACUUUUAUGUUGUUGCUACAGGCUCGGAGAGCUUAGAUGAGCUUGUCUCCUCUGUAAGGCAAAGAUUGAGUAUUAUUGAUGAAAAGGACAUCAUUCAAAUCUUGGUAAGAUUAAGUAAUUUGACAUGAAAGCAUUCAAAUGUUUCAGUAGGCAUGCAGAGAUUAGGUGUUUGAGUCUGAUAGUAAAGGUCAAGCUUUCCCUCUGCCAGUGAUGAAAUCACUGCCUUUAUGUAAUUAAAGAUGAAAGCGAUUCUUAUAUGCCUAUACCUUACACCAUUGGCUGUACCUCAUUGGCCAUGCUACAUAUGGAUUUCAAGGGUCAUUCUUCUGUCAUCAACUCAUCAUUCAUCAACCCCCACAUGUUAGUAAAUUAUUUGCCUGGACUGCCCAGCUUAAUUUUAAUCGUGAUUUGGAAUUUAGUACGAAGAUGAUGAGGGCGACCGGGUGCUGCUGACAACGGAUACUGAUCUUGCUGGCGCUGUGCUCCAUGCCAAAUCAUCUGGGUUGAAGGUAUUCUGUAUUCUUGGAUGACAUGUUGCGAUAUUGCGAGUUGCAUGACUCCUCAACUAUUAGCUGUUUGAUUUCUCAUGAAAGUGAAAAUUCCACUGACAGGUUCUCAAGUUGCAUAUCGAGGACGAGUCAAAUCCAAACACAGAGGCGGUAAAACCAUUACAGGAGCUAGCACCUCGCAGCAGGANNNNNNNNNNNNNNNNNNNNNNNNGCAGGAAUGGUGUGUCUUCUGUUAAAAUUGGGCUCAUGGCUGGUGCAGUUGCUCUCAGUGGCACGGCAGUCAUGGUGUACUUGAAACGGUCCAGGGUGUGAUUACCAGAUGAAUCAGUACUUUCCUAAACCCGCAUCUCAACAGCUGACAUCCAUCCACUUUAGAAACUAUUGUUAUCUUGGUAUCAUUGCAUACUAAGAAAAGAAAGAACGAGUCACAUGAGGUCACAUGUUUCCAGUCUGUCAGGCAAUUGAAAGGUCGAACAUCAGGCGGUAGGAGCUGCCUACAUUUGUCCCGCCACCACAUUUUGCACAAACAUCAGUGAUUUCAUGGGUCAUGGCUACGGUGAAAUGUAUAAACACAAGUGUUUAUACUAGUUCAUACUUUUGCACCUUUUUGUAGAUAAACAGAGGAUUUAAAAUCAUUUUGGAGGAUACCAUUAAGUGGAUUAUUCUCUCCUAGUGUCCUACAAAAAAUCAAAUGUAAACAAUCGGUAUCUCCGUGAUAUUAAUAUAUACUCUUUAUCAAAAAAAUGUAAACAAUUGGGUCAUGCACACUGUCAAACACACUACUCAUUCUGACGAUUGAUUAAUGAUUUCAAGGUAAAUUUACAGUAAAAAAAACAAUGCCCAUUAUUCGAUCAUGUGCCCUCUCAAGAUCUUAUCUGCACAGUAGAGUUGGGUGGCCCCUGGUUAUAUCCCUUUAUAUAUGUGAUGGAUUGAUAAUGAAGUCAUGAUUAGUAAAAAAGGAUUGGGUUGGUGUGUGGGUCAAGUUAUGGUUGCUGGCUGCACAUGUUAGUGGUUAUCUAUCCCUUUUGUUGAGGUGGUUGGUAGUUUCUUAACCUCCCUAGGUGGCUUUGAGUGGAGUCGAGCGAUCUCGUGCUCCUCUUCCAACUAUCACAAACUUGCUUUUGUAGCUUGAAAGACAGUGUUUGGAUUAGGCAAUCAUAUCCAACCUUUAAGAUCAGAUACAACUUUACAGCCAUGUGUAUAUCUGUCUGGUCUUUCUGUACUAGUGUCUAGUGGCACAUAUUUGUUUAUUUCUAUCAACUGGGCUUAGAUGGUGUCCAUAAUUUGCCAUGACUUGACUAAGAGAGCUACGAUAGUAUUGGGUUAAGUACCGUAAGUUUGGCUUUCAAAAUAAAACGUAAGCUUGCUUUGCAUAUGGUCUUCCCCAUGACAACAAACCCUAAGACCAUAUGCCCUGUUGUCUAGCAGUUGGCUAAGAGCCACCAUCAGCGCCUCCUGAUUAAAGCCACCCAUGUCCAUGACAGAAUUGUAGAGGGCAGGUUGUACGUCAACAUGCUUGCUCUCCUUGAUGGUGGUUGCCACCUCCUUAACAAUCUCGGUCAUGUUGUUAAAAACUCUCAAUUCCUUGUCCAUCAAAUUGCCCCUCUUCCUCCUCCUUUCAACAGUAGGACUGUGAUAUGCAGUCAUGAAGGAUAUUGUCUCUCUUCCUUCUUUCAACAGCAGGACCCUGAUCAGCAGACAUCAAGGACGAUGGUCUCUAACUCCUCGUGUACAAAUACUCAUGCAUAGCAAACUGAGAGGCUCAUUGGAGCCCAUGGCAUGCUUGCUGAUAGCCACCCCAUGAAAGAAGAUCUACUACAUCUACUAGUAGUUCUACAUUAAAGUGUUGAGGAACUCAACAUCCUUAGGGUGGUGCUAAGAAAGAAACACAUUAUUAUUAGUUGUGAUUUACAUGUUAGUAAGCUAAACAAGUCGUAAUGGUAUGUUAGCUAAGGGCAAGUACAAUGAUGAUAUCUUAGAAGUGUCAUGUAGGAUAAAAGUUGAUGGUUGAGGUGACAGAGAGAGAAAUCAUAAGAAAAGACUUGUCUUCUCUUAUUUAAGAGACGAUCUCUUAACACAAUAUGUCUCAUCAUGUUUUAAGAAAUAGCUAGUUAUUAAAGAUAAGGCUAAGAGAUAACCCAUUAUAGACAUGCUUUUAUUGUCAUCUCUAAAUUACAUGCAUGGCUUAAAAUAAGAUUGUCUUAUCAACCAUUGUAUAUGCCCUAACUGUGGUGUGGCCUUAGUGUCGCUGUGUCGCCAAUAGAAUCGUGAAGGUGUCACGAUCUCAUUGUGCAUCGCUAAGAUCUUUGAACCUGGACGUUUGGAUUCAUCUGGCUCUCCACUUUCUGAGGUGGUUGUAGACUUGGGUUGAGGUUACCACUUGGUUGAAGACCUUCUUUAUCAGAGUUCAGGUGCACCUUUUGAGACCCUUGUGGGUCCUCACCAUAGUGGAUAUGAUCUCGCACAUCUUGUUAAACACGAAGGUGGACAUGUAAGGAUGUCAUUUCAUUGAGCUUUCUUUUCCAAACAUGUUUACCUUCCCAACCUUAUGGAUGCUUGAUGUGCAACAUCAAUAGGCAUCGUCACACAAAUGAUAGCUGCCUAAUAGGGCCCUCGAACACAUCUGAAUUUGGAGGCAUAUAGACAAGGUUAGGAGUCCUCAACAUAGGACAUCAUGAAAUGGUUGCCGGACAAGACAAUGGUCUUACUAAAAUCUCAGAUGCUCAAAUUCUACAAUCACUGUCGUUAGGACUAAUUCAACACACUACACAUGAACAAAAGGAAAGACAAAACAUACUACACAUGUAGCCCCAAUCAUGAAGUUUAACCACCGCGUAUGGACUAAUCUUCAACCUCAAAACAAACCAUUAAGUUCAACACACUAACACAUCAUAUCAACCAUACUUGCAUACUAGCAUACUGCACAUGCUCUAAGCGUCAAACUAGUACCACAUCUACCAUAGUGUCAUUGAAGCCGACAUGGAAAACAACACGAACAUUAUCAAAGCCUACAAGCCAAAUCUAGCAUGCUAGUGAUCUAUUACCACUACAAUUUGAUCCACCACAACAUCACAUACUCAUAGAUCUACAUUCUACUAUAUUACCACAUGCUCACAUAUCUAAUCUCGAAUGAGCAGGGAGGAGGGAGUGAUCAAACUUACAACCAUUGGUGAAGCUGGGUGGUGGAGCAGGACAACUCAGAUAAGAGGAUGUAGAACGUUCGUCACCGCAGCCUAUCGCUGACUCAAGAAGAUGCAUUGCUUACCUUCUCGUUAGUGAUGAAGUCGCCCGAGACGAAGUGCUCGAGGGGGAAGGGGGAUUAGGCAGGGAAAUGAUGGUUGUGGUUUCGGUGGUGAGCCAAAGAGAGCUAAAUAGGGCAACUGAUUCGGUAGGAGGUGACCCAAUUCCCCCACCGCUUUUCCGAAAACACGCGUGAGCUCAUGUCAUAUUGUAUCUUGCAUGAGCUCGGUGCCGUGUGCCCCUUCACUGCACGCCUGACUAAGAGGUUCAUACUAUACACGCCAAAAAUAAAGAUAGACAUCCAAACGAACGAAGAUUGCGUCGAGGAGACCUUCACUUGACCAAGAGGGUGCCGACGCACACACACGCGAAUUUGAUCCGCUUUAUGUUUGUUUGGGUCGUCUAUAAGGGCGACGUUCGCCCCCAUUUGGUCCGCCACGCCGAGUUUUGUUUUCCCAUUUUUUAUUAAUUUGGACAUUCUAUGCAUAUAUAUCAAAUAAACAAAUAAAAACAUUACACAAUAUUGAAUAAAUAAGUCACAUUGUUUUACAUAACAAUAAGUAAAAAACUCAUAGUUUACAACCAAAUGAUUUUUUUUACCAAAUACAUUAAAAGGUACAUCUAUUGGUUGCCUACGUGAGUCCACAUAUGCUCAACAAAAUCAUUCUCAAGUUCAAUAUGAGUUUCCAUUCACACAUUUCUUGAUGAAAUUGGAUGAGAUGUGCAAAACAUUGCUGCUUCAUACUCACGCUCGACGUUUCACCCUGGAAAUCCCACCCUUGGUCAAAGAUGAUGUCAUCACACCCAUCCUCUAUGAUCAUGUUGUGCAUGAUCACACAACAUGCCAUCACCUCCCAUGUCUUCUCAAGGCUCCAUGGUUUAGCAGGGUGUCGAACAAUAGCCCAUCAAGAUUGGAGCACACCAAAAGCACGCUCCACAUCCUACCUAGCACUCUCUUUUUCUUUGGCAAACCUAGUCCUCUUUUCUUGUAUGGGCUCGAAGAUUGUCUUGACAAUCAUAGACCACCGAUGAUAUAUACCAUCAUCUAGGUAGUAUCUGUUGGGUAACGUAGCAUAAAUUCAAAAAAAUUCCUACGCCAUAUUCAGAUCUUCCUAUGGAGAGACCAGCAACGAGAGAGGGGUGAGUGCAUCUUCAUACCUUUGAAGAUCGCUAAGCGGAAGCGUUGCUAGAACGCGGUUGAUGGAGUUGUACUCGCGGCGAUUCAGAUUGUGGUGUGAUUCCGAUCUAGUGCCGAACCACGCCACCUCCGCGUUCAACACAUGUGCAGCCCGGUGACGUCUCCCGCACCUUGAUCCAGCAAGGAGGAGGGAGAGGUUGGGGAAGAUCUCCGGCAGCACGACGACGUGGUGUCGAUGGAGAGACGAGGUCUCCUGGCAGGGCUUCGCCAAGCACCGUGGGAGAGGAGGAAGAAGGGGGGCAGGGCUGCGCCGAGGGAGAUGGAAAACUGUGUGUAAAACAGCCCCAAAACCCCCACUAUAUAUAGGAGGAGGGGAGGGGGGUGCCACCCCUAGGGUUCCCACCCUAGGUGGUGCGCCAACACCCCCAGAUGGGAGGUGCGGCGGCCAGGGCAGGGGAAGGGGGUGGCGCACCCCUAGGUGGGCCUUAGGCCAACCAGCGCCUAGGGUUUCCCCCCCUCUCCACCUCCUGCGCCUUGGGCCUCCUUGUGGGAGGUGCACCAGCCCACUUCGGGCUGGUUUCCCUCCCUCUUUUGGCCCAUGCUACCUCUUGGGGCUGGUGGCCCCUCCCGGUGGACCCUCGGGACCAUUUCCGGUGGUCUCGGUGGUCCCGGUACAUUACCGGUGACGCCCGAAACAUUUCCGGUGUCCAAAACCAUCCAUCCUAUAUAUCAAUCUUUACCUCCGAACCAUUCCGGAGCUCCUCGUGACGUACGGGAUCUCAUCCAGGACUCCGAACAACUUUCGGUAACCUCGUAUAACAAUUCCCUAUAACCCUAGCGUCAUCGAACCUUAAGUGUGUAGACCCUACGCAUUCGGGAGACAGGCAGACAUGACCGGGACACCUCUCCAGCAAAUAACCAUCAGCGGGGUCUGGAUACCCAUGGUGUCUCCCACUUGCUCCACGAUGAUCUCAUCGGAUGAACCACGAUGUCAAGGAUUCAAUCAAUCUCGUAUACAAUUCCCUUUGUCUGUCGGUAUAGAACUUGCCCGAGAUUCGAUCGUCGCUAUACCUAUACCUUGUUCAAUCUCGUUACCGGUAAGUCUCUUUACUCGUUCCGUAGCACGUCAUCGUGUGACUAAAUCCUUAGUCACAUUGAGAUCAUGAUGAUGUUCUACCGAGUGGGCCCAGAGAUACCUCUCCGUCACGCGGAGUGACAAAUCCCGAUCUCGAUUCGUACCAACCCAACAGACACUUUCAGAGGUACCCGUAGUGCACCUUUAUAGUCACCCAAUUAUGUUGUGACGUUUGAUACACCCAAAGCACUCCUACGGUAUCCGGGAGUUGCAUAAUCUCACGGUCGAAGGAAAAGACACUUGACAUUAGAAAAGCUUUAGCAUACGAACAAUACGAUCUAGUGCUAUGCUUAGGAUUGGGUCUUGUCCAUCACAUCAUUCUCCCAAUGAUGUGAUCCCGUUAUCAAUGACAUCUAAUGCCCAUGAUCAGGAAACCAUGAUCAUCUAUUGAUCAACGAGCUAGCCAACUAGAGGCUUGCUAGGGACACAUUGUGAUCUAUUUAUUCACACAUGUAUUACUGUUUCCUGUUAAUACAAUUAUAGCAUGAACAAUAGGCGAUUAUCAUGAACAAGGAAAUAUGAUAAUAACCAUUUUAUUAUUGCCUCUAGGGCAUAUUUCCAACAGUCUCCCACUUGCACUAGAGUCAAUAAUCUAGUUACAUUUUGAUGUAUCGAACACCCAUAGCAUUAUGGUGUUGAUCAUGUUUUUCUCGAGGAAGAGGUUUAGUCAACGGGUCUGCGACAUUCAGAUCCGUAUGUACUUUACAAAUCUCUAUUACUCCACUCUGGACAUGGUCCUGGAUGGAGUUGUAGCGGCGUUUGAUGUGCUUUGUCUUCCGGUGAAACCUGGGCUCCUUGGCUAUGGCAAUGGCCCAAGUGUUAUCACAGAAGANNNNNNNNNNNNNNNNNNNNNNAAGAGCGUCAUUGGACCCGACGCGCUUGGAACCACUCCAAGGUAGGUGAUGAGCUCCUUCAUCGAAAUUCCUUCAUGAGCCGCUUCUGAAGCAGCUAUGUACUCCGCUUCACAUGUAGAUGCUGCCACGACUUCUUGCUUGCUGCUGCACCAGCUCACUGCCCCACCAUUCAAAACAUAUACGUAUCCGGUCUGUGACUUAGAGUCAUCCGGAUCUGUGUCGAAGCUAGCGUUGACGUAACCCUUUACGAGGAGCUCUUCGUCACCUCCAUAAACGAGAAACAUCUCCUUAGUCCUCUUCAGGUACUUAAGGAUAUUCUUGACCGCUGUCCAGUGUUCCAUACCGGGAUCACUUUGGUACCUCCCUACCAAACUUAUGGCAAGGUAUAUAUCAGGUCUGGUACACAGCAUGGCAUACAUUAGAGAGCCUACGGCUGAAGCGUAGGGGACAAUACUCAUCUUCUCUCUAUCUGCUGCCGUGGUCGGUGACUGAGUCUUACUCAAUCUCAUACCUUGCAAAACUGGCAAGAACCCUUUCUUUGAGUUUUCCAUAUUGAACUCCUUCAAUAUCUUGUCAAGGUAUGUACUUUGCGAAAGACCUAUGAAGCGCCUCGAUCUAUCUCUAUAGAUCUUGAUGCCUAAUAUGUAUGCAACUUCUCCAAGGUCCUUCAUUGAAAAACUCUUGUUCAAAUAGGCCUUUAUGCUCUCCAACAUCUCUAUAUUAUUCCCCAUCAAUAAUAUGUCAUCCACAUACAGUAUGAGGAAAGCUACAGAGCUCCCACUCACUUUCUUGUACAGACAGGCUUCUCCGUAAACCUGUAUGAACCCAAACGCUUUAAUCACCUCAUUAAAGCGAAUGUUCCAACUCCGAGAUGCUUGCACCAGCCCAUAGAUGGAGCGCUGGAGCUUGCACACUUUGUUAGCACCCUUAGGGUUGACAAAACCUUCUGGUUGCAUCAUAUACAACUCUUCCUUAAGGUUCCCGUUAAGGAACGCUGUUUUGACGUCCAUUUGCCAAAUUUCAUAAUCAUAAAAGGCGGUAAUUGCUAACAUGAUUCGGACUGAUUUCAGCUUCGCUACGGGAGAGAAAGUCUCUUCGUAGUCAAUUUCUUGAAUUUGUCGAAAACCCUUUGCGACAAGUCGAGCUUUAUAAACGGUUACAUUACCGUUUGCAUCAGUCUUCUUCUUGAAGAUCCAUUUAUUUUCUAUGGCUCGCCGGUCAUCAGGCAAGUCCACCAAAGUCCAUACUUUGUUCUCAUACAUGGAUCCUAUCUCGGAUUUCAUAGCUUCAAGCCAUUUGUUGGAAUCCGGGCCCGCCAUCGCUUCUUCAUAGUUCGAAGGUUCACCGUUGUCUAACAACAUGAUUUCCAUCACAGGGUAGCCGUACCACUCUGGUGCGGAACGUGCCCUUGUGGACCUUCGUGGUUCAGUAGUAACUUGAUCGGAAGCUUCAUGAUCAUUAUCAUUAACUUCCUCUUCAGUUGGUGCAGGCGCCAUAGGAACAAUUUCCCGCGCUGCGCUACUUUCCUGUUCGAGAGGGGGUGUAAUUACCUCAUCAAGUUCUACCUUCCUCCCACUUACUUCUUUCGAGAGAAACUCUUUCUCUAGAAAGGAUCCGUUCUUAGCAACAAAGGUUUUACCUUCGGAUCUAAGAUAGAAGGUAUACCCAAUAGUUUCCUUAGGGUAUCCUAUGAAUACACAUUUCUCCGCUUUGGGUUCGAGCUUUUCUGGUUGAAGUUUCUUCACAUAAGCAUCACAGCCCCAAACUUUAAGAAACGACAACUUAGGUUUCUUGCCAAAACAUAGUUCAUACGGUGUCGUCUCAAUGGAUUUAGACGGUGCCCUAUUUAAAGUGAAUGCUGCAGUUUCUAAUGCGUAUCCCCAAAAUGAUAUCGGUAAGUCGGUAAGAGACAUCAUAGACCGUACCAUAUCUAAUAAAGUGCGAUUAUGACAUUCAGACACUCCGUUGCGUUGCGGUGUGCCAGGCGGCGUCAGUUGUGAAACGAUUCCACACUUCCUUAGGUGUGUGCCAAACUCGUGACUCAAAUAUUCUCCUCCACGAUCAGAUCGUAGAUACUUAAUUUUUCUAUCACGUUGAUUCUCGACCUCACUCUGAAAUUCCUUGAACUUUUCAAACGUCUCAGAUUUGUGCUUCAUCAAGUAGAUAUACCCAUACCUACUCAAAUCAUCGGUGAGAGUGAGAACAUAACGAUAGCCACCGCAAGCUUCAACGUUCAUUGGACCACACACAUCAGUAUGUAUUAUUUCCAAUAAGUCGGUUGCUCUCUCCAUUAUUCCUGAGAAUGGAGUCUUAGUCAUCUUGCCCAUGAGGCACGGUUCGCAUGUGUCAAAUGAUUCAAAGUCAAGAGACUCUAAUAGUCCAUCAGUAUGGAGCUUCUUUAUGCGCUUAACACCGAUAUGACCAAGGCGGCAGUGCCACAAGUAUGUGGGACUAUCAUUAUCAACUUUACAUCUUUUGGUACUCACACUAUGAAUAUGUGUAACAUCACGAUCGAGAUUCAUCAAGAAUAAACCAUUCACCAGCGGAGCAUGACCAUAAAACAUAUCACUCAUAUAAAUAGAACAACCAUUAUUCUCUGACUUAAAUGAGUAGCCGUAUCGCAUUAAGAAAGACCCUGAUACAAUAUUCUUGCUCAAAGCUGGUACUAAAUAACAAUUAUUAAGGUUUAAAACUAAUCCCGACGGUAGAUGUAGAGGUAGCGUGCCGACAGCGAUCACAUCGACCUUGGAGCCAUUCUCGACGCGCAUCGUCACCUCGUCCUUGGCCAGUCUCCGCUUUUUCCGCAGUUACUGCUUUGAGUUGCAAAUGUGAGCAACAACACUGGUAUCAAAUACCCAGGAGCUACUACGAGCGCUCGUAAGGUACACAUCAAUAACAUGUAUAUCACAUAUACCUUUAACGUUGCCGGCCUUCUUGUCCGCUAAGUAUUUGGGGCAGUUCCGCUUCCAGUGACCUUUUCCCUUGCAAUAGAAGCACUCAGUCUCAGGCUUGGGUCCAUUCUUUUUCUUCUUCCCGGCAUCUGGCUUACCGGGCGCGGCAACGACUUUGCCGUCUUUCUUGAAGUUCUUCUUACCCUUGCCCUUCUUGAAACUAGUGGUCUUGUUGACCAUCAACACUUGAUGCUCUUUCUUGAUUUCUACUUCUCCAGACUUGAGCAUCGAGUACAACUCGGAAAUGGUCUUCUCCAUCCCUUGCAUGUUGUAGUCCAGCACAAAACCUUUGUAGCUUGGUGGGAGAGACUGGAGGAUUCUGUCAAUUAUAGCAUCAUCCGGAAGUUCGACUCCAAGUGAAGUCAGACGACCGUGUAACCCAGACAUUUUGAGUAUGUGCUCACUGACACAACCGUUCUCCUCCAUCUUACAGCUAAAGAACUUGUCGGAGACUUCAUAUCUCUCAACACGGGCAUGAGAUUGAAAAACUACCUUAAGCUCUUGGAACAUCUCAUAUGCACCGUGUUGCUCAAAACGCCUUUGGAGCCCCGUUUCCAAACUGUAUAACAUGCCACACCUAACUAGAGAGUAGUCAUCACUCCGCGUUUGCCAGACGUUCAGAAUGUCCUGGGCUGCUGCGGGAGCGGGAGGGUCACCUAGCGGCGCAUCAAGGACAUAAGCCUUUUUAGUUGCUUCAAGGAUGAGCUUCAAGUUGCGAACCCAGUCCGCAUAGUUGCUACCAUCAUCUUUCAGCUUGUUUUUCUCUAGGAAUGCGUUGAAAUUGAGGUUGAGGUUGGCCAUCUACAAUAUUUAUAAAGACAACUUUUAGACUAAGUUCAUGACAAUUAAGUUCAUUUAAUCAAAUUAAGUAUGAACUCCCACUUAAAUCGACAUCCCUCUAGUCAUCUAAGUGAUACAUGAUCCAUGUUGACUAACCCGUGUCCGAUCAUCACGUGAGACGGACUAGUCACCAUGGUGAGCAACUUCAUGCUGAUCGUAUUCAACCAUACGACUCAUGUUCGACCUUUCGGUCUCUUGUAUUCGAGGUCAUGUUUGUACAUGCUAAGCUCGUCGAGUCAACCUAGGUGUUUCGCGUGUGUAAAUUUGGCUUACACCCGUUGUAUGCGAACGUUAGAAUCUAUCACACCCGAUCAUCACGUGGUGCUUCGAGACAAUGAUCCUUCGCAACGGUGCACACUUAGGGGAAUACGUUCUCGAAAUUUUAAUAGGGAUCAUCUUAUUAUGCUAUCGUCGUUCUAAGCAAUAAGAUGAAAACAUGAUAAACAUCACAAUGCAAUCAUAUAGUUACAUGAUAUGGCCAUUAUCAUCUUUGCUCUUUCGAUCUCCAUCUUCAGGCAUCGCAUGAUCAUCAUUGUCACCGGCGUGACACCAUGAUCUCCAUCAUCGUGUCUCCGUGAAGUCGUCACGCCAACUACUACUAUCACUACUACUAUAGCUAACCGUUAGCAAUGAAGUAAAAGUAGUAAGCACAUGGCAUUGCAUCUCAUACAAUAAAUUAAGACAACUCCUAUGGCUCCUGCCGGUUGUCAUACUCAUCAACAUGCAAGUCGUGAAACCUAUUACUAUAACAUGAUCAUCUCAUACAUCAUACAUGCAACAUCACAACUUUGUCCAUAUCACAUCACAUGUCAAACCCUGCAAAAACAAGUUAGACGUCCUCUAAUUGUUGUUGCAAGUUUUACGUGGCUGAUUUGGGUUUCUAGAAAGAACGCUUUCUUACCUACGUGACAGCUACAACGAUGAUAUGCCAAAGCUAUUUACCCUUCAUAAGGACCCUUUUCAUCAAAUCCAAUCCGACUAGAGUAGGAGAGACAGACACCCGCUAGCCACCUUUAUGCACGGUGUGCAUGUCUGUCGGUGGAACCAGUCUCACGUAAGCGUACGUGUAAUGUUCGUCCGUGCCGCUUCAUCCCACAAUACCGCCGGAGAAGAAUAAGACUAGUAGCGGCAAGCAAUUGACAAAUCAUCGCCCACAACCUUUUGUGUUCUACUCGUGCAUAGAAUCUACGCAUAGAAAACCUGGCUCGGAUGCCACUGUUGGGUAACGUAACAUAAAUUCAAAUUUUUUCCUACGCCAUAUUCAGAUCUUCCUAUGGAGAGACCAGCAACGAGAGAGGGGUGAGUGCAUCUUCAUACCUUUGAAGAUCGCUAAGCGGAAGCAUUGCUAGAACGCGGUUGAUGGAGUCGUACUCGCGGCGAUUCAGAUCGCGGUGUGAUUCCGAUCUAGUGCCGAACCACGGCACCUCCGCGUUCAACACACGUGCAGCCCGGUGACGUCUCCCGCACCUUGAUCCAGCAAGGAGGAGGGAGAGGUUGGGGAAGAUCUCCGGCACCACGACGACGUGGUGUCGAUGGAGAGACGAGGUCUCCCGGCAGGGCUUCGCCAAGCACCGUGGGAGAGGAGGAAGAAGGGGGGCAGGGCUGUGCCGAGGGAGAUGAAAAAGUGUGUGUAAAACAGCCCCAAAACCCCCACUAUAUAUAGGAGGAGGGUAGGGGGUGCCACCCCUAGGGUUCCCACCCUAGGUGGUGCGGCAGCCCCCCCAGAUGGCAGGUGCGGCGGCCUGGGCAGGGGGAGGUGGUGGCGCACCCCUAGGCGGGCCUUAGGCCCACCAGCGCCUAGGGUUUCCCCCCCUCUCCACCUCCUGCGCCUUGGGCCUCCUUGUGGGAGGUGCACCAGCCCACUUCGGGCUGGUUUCCCUCCCUCUUUUGGCCCAUGCUACCUCUUGGGGCUGGUGGCCCCUCCCGGUGGACCCUCGGGACCAUUUCCGGUGGUCUCGGUGGUCCCGGUACAUUACCGGUGACGCCCGAAACAUUUCCGGUGUCCAAAACCAUCCAUCCUAUAUAUCAAUCUUUACCUCCGAACCAUUCCGGAGCUCCUCGUGACGUACGGGAUCUCAUCCAGGACUCCGAACAACUUUCGGUAACCUCGUAUAACAAUUCCCUAUAACCCUAGCGUCAUCGAACCUUAAGUGUGUACACCCUACGCAUUCGGGAGACAGGAAGACAUGACCGGGACACCUCUCCAGCCAAUAACCAUCAGCGGGGUCUGGAUACCCAUGGUGUCUCCCACUUGCUCCACGAUGAUCUCAUCGGAUGAACCACGAUGUCAAGGAUUCAAUCAAUCUCGUAUACAAUUCCCUUUGUCUGUCGGUAUAGAACUUGCCCGAGAUUCGAUCGUCGCUAUACCUAUACCUUGUUCAAUCUCGUUACCGGUAAGUCUCUUUACUCGUUCCGUAGCACGUCAUCGUGUGACUAAAUCCUUAGUCACAUUGAGAUCAUGAUGAUGUUCUACCGAGUGGGCCCAGAGAUACCUCUCCGUCACGCGGAGUGACAAAUCCCGAUCUCGAUUCGUACCAACCCAACAGACACUUUCAGAGGUACCCGUAGUGCACCUUUAUAGUCACCCAAUUAUGUUGUGACGUUUGAUACACCCAAAGCACUCCUACGGUAUCCGGGAGUUGCAUAAUCUCACGGUCGAAGGAAAAGACACUUGACAUUAGAAAAGCUUUAGCAUACGAACAAUACGAUCUAGUGCUAUGCUUAGGAUUGGGUCUUGUCCAUCACAUCAUUCUCCCAAUGAUGUGAUCCCGUUAUCAAUGACAUCUAAUGCCCAUGAUCAGGAAACCAUGAUCAUCUAUUGAUCAACGAGCUAGCCAACUAGAGGCUUGCUAGGGACACAUUGUGAUCUAUUUAUUCACACAUGUAUUACUGUUUCCUGUUAAUACAAUUAUAGCAUGAACAAUAGGCGAUUAUCAUGAACAAGGAAAUAUGAUAAUAACCAUUUUAUUAUUGCCUCUAGGGCAUAUUUCCAAGAGUAUCGUUAUUGUAUUGGUGGUCGUUAAUUUGAAAGUUUACCUUUGGGUACUUGCCUUUCGAUCGCCUCGCAAACACCUGAAGCACAUUGAUGUCAUUGUGAGAACCUGCCAUGUCGAAAAACAAUGCCAAAUCCAAAGAUCUUGUGAUGCCAUAGCUUCAAGAUGACCAUGUGAGCUUUACAUCUCUCUUAUAUUUCCCCUCCAAUCAAAUGGACAAUUCUUCCACUUCUCGUGCAUAUAAUAUAUGCUUACAAGUAUUCCCAGAAAGCCUCUCCGAUUCAUUGAUCGCUAACAAUCAUGUUGUAUCCGCAACAUUUGGUUCUUUCAAGUACUGCAGGCCAAAGACCAUAACCACAACUUUGCAAAACCUGUACAAUGACGCAAGACAUCUGGACUCACUCAUGCGGACAUACUCAUCCGCAAGAUCACUAGGAAUUCCGUGCGCAAAGAAUACGCAUAGCUGCAAUACAUUUAUGAUAAGAGGAGAAACCAACCUUUCCAAUGGCAACAAUCUUACAUUUGAAGUAAUCAUCAUACUCUACCACCUCCUCCUGAAUACGGAUUAACACAUGUCUUGCCAUCUGGAAGGGUCACUAGAAUAACUUUAGAGGGAAUAGUGGGUCAUUGAGCUAAAUAUAAUAGUUGUAGAGUAGGCAAUGACUACUUUCUCCGUUACGAUUCAAUCCAGAGCAUGGCCCCAGAUCAAUCCCUUAAACUUUGACCGUUGCACUACAAUGUGCUCAUUGACUACCAAAGUAGCUAUCACGUCAUCAUUCUCAUCGUUAGACGAUUCUUUGGAUGACGGUGAACAUAUGAAGUUCUCAUAAAAAAUCUCAUCAAGUGAUGAAACCGUACCUCACUGGACGCAGAGGCGUGCGUGGACAUGUCUCGGUCGAGUGAGGCAAACAGCAAAACACCUUACAUGCAGCGAUGGGGGGUGAGGCGGCGGCGAGUCACGGUCGGUGGACGGAGUCCACAAAGACAAAGGCGAGAGAUUUGUUGAACCCGCAUUCUCUGACAGGGACCUUGGAGGUAGCGGGGGAUGCCGACAACACUCGGGUAAGCAGGUCAUGUCCUUCUCCUCGGCGGGAAGAAGCGGCCACAAGAGCGACAAAAGUGGGCUGAAAGGACGUGGAUGUUGCCUAGAGGGGGGGGGGGGCUGAAUAGGUGCUUUAAAAUAAUUAUGGUUUAGGCUUGAACAAAUGUGGAAUAAAUCUAGCAUUUAUUGUAUCAAGCACAAAACCUAAAACAGCUAGGCUCACCUAUGUGGACCAACAACUUAUGGUAAACAAGAUAAACAACCAAGUUAUAUAUAUAUAUAUAUAUAUAUUGAAACAAUAUGGCUAUCACAAACUAAAGUGCAUAAGUAAAGGGCUCAUGUAAGAGAUAACUUAGGCAGGCACAGACGAUGAUGUAUCCCGAAGUUCACACCCUUGCGGAUGCUAAUCCCCAUUUGGAGCGAUGUGGAGGCACAAUGCUCCCCAAGAAGCCAGUAGAGCCACCGUAAACUCCUUACACCCUCGCACAAUACAAGAUGUCGUUAUUCAAUUAAGGGAUCCUUAAGGACGGUCACCGAACUCGUACAAAUGGCGACCCUUGGGGGCGGUUACCGAAGCCAUACACUUUGAUAAUCCUUGGGGACGGUCACAUGAACCCAUACAAAUUUCUCGGGGCAAUAUCCACAACCUAAUUGGAGACCCUAACACUUGCUCUGAGCUUUACACCACAAUUAAAUGAGCUCCGAGACACCACCAACCGUCUAGGGCGCCAAAGCACCCAAGAGGCACAAGAUCUAGGGUGCCCAAACACCCAAGAGUAAUAAGCUUCUCAACUUUUCGCUUCCACGUAUCAUCAUGGAGGACUCAAACCGAUGCAACUAAUUCAAUGGCAAGAACACAUGAAGUGUUCAAGUUCCUCACUCCCAAAUCCCACUACAACAACAAAAGCUAUAGAGGAAUAUGAGAGGAAGAACAUGUAACUCACAACGAACUUCAAGAUCUAGAUCCAAGGGUUCCCCUCACACAGAGGAGAAAGUGAUUGGUGAAAAUGUGGAUCUAGAUCUCCCGUCUCCUUUUACUCAAAAAGGAGCAAGAAUUAUUGGAGGGAUUGAUAGUUAGAAAGCUCUAAGAAGGGCAACAAUGGGGGAAGAACACGAGCUCAAAGCUUAAGGACCAUUGGGGAAGAAUCCCCCCUUAAGUAAGCGCCCCCCGAAUCCAACCGUUAUGCCCACAAGUCGUGCACAAGAGGUACUAUCGCUUAGCACGGUUAAAACAGCCCAACAAGACAUAACAACAUGAACGGUAGUUCUGCGAGAGCAGUACUACCGCUUGGGGGAGCAGUACUACCGCUUGAGCAGUACUACCGCUUGGGGGAGCAGUACUAUCGCUUAGAGCAGUACUACCGUUGUACUACCACUCGAGCAAAUUAGCAAUAGAAGCAUAAAAUAAGCGGAAGUGGUUGUGGUAGAAGGAAGCGAAAGUAACUCUCAAGCGGUACUACCGCUCGGGGGAGUAGUACUACCGCUCUACUACCACUUAGAGCAGUACUACUGCCCAAGCAAGACAGAAGAAAGCUCCAAUACACACUCCAAAAAAGCAAACUCAAGCUCUUCCAAUAGACAACAACAAGUACUAUCCAACAACGACUGGUUAUAAUAAGAAGUGGCAGUGGAAAAAUGCCAAUGAUAUAGACAUGUGAAACCUCUAUGAAUGAAGAACCGACAAAAACUCCAACAUUGAAAACAUCAAAGAAUAUGCAUAUGAACUCUGAUUUUUUAUGAACUAGAGCUUGUCAUGAAGAUGACCAUAAGCUCUAAACCCCGCAUAGAGAAACACCAAACAAGAACCAAAAAAGAUGGUGGAAGGAUGCAAUGGUUUGAGCUCUCUACGGAAGAUACGAUCAAGCUACUCAAUUGAGAGCCCCCGAUGAUAGUUCGACAAUCGAUCCUAUAACCUGGUCUCCCAACAAACAUCAUGAGAUCUAUAAAAUAGAAAACCUAUCAAGCAUAAACCUUUGCAUUGCGCAUAAUCCACUUCAGGUAGAUGACGACGAUCUUGUCCUCCUCAAGUUGUACCACCUUUCUUGAUUGCACCAGCUUGAUGAAGACUAGUAGAUUGCUCCUCCAUACUCCAGUAUGGGUGAGUCUCUUGUGAGCACAUCUUGACAUGUCCAUUAUCACCAUAAUGGACGACAAGCUUCAAGCAUGAUCUCUUCGUGAUGCUCCACUUGAACUUGCAUAACACAACCUUGAUGACGAUCACCACUUCAUGUCAUCAUCCAUGGGUUAUAUGAAAUCUUCCUCUUUAUGCAAGCCCAUGGAAAAAUACCUAACCCCUUAUAGAACUACCACACAAAUAGAUCAUGAGUUAGUACACAAAGCGCAAUGGACAAUGCUUACCAUACCGUGAGAUUACUUGAUCCCACACGGUACAUCUUCUAUGCUUUGUGUGUUGAUCAACUUGAAUGCAAUCUUUGUACUUAUUUUUUGAUCAACAUUGUCUCUUAUAUUCUAUUCAUAAAGAUGAUAUCUUGAAGGUAAACAUGAAUGUUCACACAAUCUUCUUAUUCAAGACAUGCUUGCAAUAAGCUCAACUCACACAUGACCAAUCUUUGGAUAAAUCCUUGAAUACCACCUUAGUCAUCACAUAAACUCCUUGAAACCAAUAAAUGGACUUAAAAAAAAAUUCUAUGGACAAAUCUUUUGAAUAUAACUCAAGGCAACCAUUAGUCCAUAGAGAAGGUCAUCAAUUACCAAAACCACAUAUGGGGGCACCAUGCUCUUUCAUGGGCGCCGAUGGAUGGGACGAUGGUGGCACCCUGGGUGGAUAUGGCGGUGGGGGUGGGGUGGUGGUGCAGAGGCCAUCAAUUAGGUGGCAACGUCAAUGGUCAUGAGGGGGUGAUGGUCGUGGGAGAGUAUGACCUAUGUUCCACAGAUGGGUGGGCCAGGGAAGGACAUGGGGAGAACACCGCAGGCGUGUGUUGCAUGUCCGCGCAAAUGCAAAACCAACCCAAAUUUAAAACAGAAAUGUGUCCAAAUGGAUAUGAAAACGAGCACCCGUUAAGUUGGGUUGUUGUUUUAUUUGUGCCUACCCAAACGAACGUGGACGGAUGAAACGGGUUGACAUUUGGAGUUAACUCCAACGCACGACCACAAGCAUACGUUGGUCUUGUCCGAGUUUUUUGUUUACAUCGGCCAAAUGGGGGGCCGUCCAACCACAUUUGACGAAAUAUGGCCGGUGCACCCAACCAUCCGAUGCAUUUCAUUUGCGCACUAGAAUUUUAUGCAAGCAUCUAAAUUUUGGGCCAACAACCAUGGUUCAUGCCGGAGUCCGUCGUAUGUUCCGGUGGCUCACAUACAUGCAGGCCUACAAAAUGAAAAUGUCACUAUUCAUGUCGGCACACUUGCUGGCACACAAAAGGACAUAGUUCAUGCAUCUUGGCCAACAAAAAUCAUGGUGCUCUCAGCCAUAGUUCACCCAUCUUGCUCGAGCAAAUAUUUUUUCCUCUUCUCAAACCAAAGCCUUCUCCUUGGGAACACCUUGUUCAAGUCGAUGGUCAUGAUCUCCACUUCCUUAGCGAUGAUUGUGAGCUUCACCUUGUUUGAUUUUGUCUUUGCAAAGCUCGCCUCAAUCUAGAGCUUCUUGAUUUGGACGUUCUCCUAGAUAUCGAGCUUCUUCUUUAGUAUCUCUAUGUAGGCCUUCAUAUGCUCCUCCUACUCUUGGCACAUCCUUUCCUCGCCUUCAUCAUAUUGGCCACCCUUCGACGCGGCCGCCACCGUUUUGGCUUUGUGUUUCCUCGACAUCGCAGCCUUGGCCAUCACCCUCGAAGAUGAUAUUCUACAUGAAAUCCUGGUAGUAGACCGGGUCAUCAUGCGUUGACGGUCGGUUCACGUUUCAUUAAAUGGGUUGCAUGUGCUAGGAAAGUUGGCUGUUGGAAUCACCCUAGGCCACUUCAUUUGCAUCCCGGUGGACGACUGACCGACACCGAAAACAUGGGUGGCGUUGAGAUUGACGGACGCACACACGAGGAUGGCCGACGCGAUAACACUAGUUUCUAGUGAGCUAUCUCUAGGCGAUGUGGAGAGGCGGGUAUGUCGGGUUAUGUGAGUGUUGGAACCCUGGUGUGCGUGGCGUUGUGGACGUGUGCGGCAACUCCUCUCGUAGAGGGCUGCUACUUGUAAACCGCGUUUGGAUUUUCCCCAAAGAGGAGGGAGAUGCAACAUAGUAGAGAUAAGUAUUUCCUCAAUGAGAACCAAGGUUAUGGAACCAAUAGGAGAGUCAUGGAAAACCUCCUUUAGCAACACCUACACACAGAGAACCAAGCACUUGCACCCAACGCGGGCAAGAUGGUUGUCAAGCCCCUUGCACUCGUUACUUGCAAGGAUUAAAUACUAAUAGAUAGAUAAUAGAAAUAAAUAAAAGUAAAUAAAAUAGUAAAUACAUGACAACAAAGUAUUUUUGGAGUUUUUGUUAUUAUGUUUAGGUAGACCUGGGGGCCAUAGUUUUCGCUAGAGGCUUCUCUCUUGAACAUAGCAUACAAUGGGUAAACAAAUUACUGUUGAGAAAUUGACAAAAUUACGCAUAGUUAUGACAUGUUAUUCACAACAAUGAUCAUGUAUAUAGGCAUCACAUCCAUAAACAAUUAGAUGAUCUCCUGCCUCAAUCUAUUACUAUUACUCCACUCAUCGACCGCUAUCCAGCAUGUAUCUAGAGUUUAAGUAUGAAACAUAGUAAUGCUUGGAGUAAGAUGACAUGAUGUGGGCAAAAUAAUACAAGCAAUAUGUUCAGACCCUAUCAUUCUAUCCUUAAUCACAACAAUACAAUACAUGUCAUGUCCCUUUCUGUCAUUGGGAUUGAGCACCGGAAGAUUGAACCCAUCACAAUGCACCACUCCCACUAAAUAUAAACCAGUCUAGUUGGCCAAACCAAACCGACAGACCAGAGAGAAAUACGAAGCUAUAACAAUCAUGCAUAAAAUAAUUCAGAGAAGAUUCAAUAUAUAUCAUGAAUAAUCUGAUCAUAAACCCAUAAUUCAUCGAAUCCCAACAAACACACUCAAGAGGAUUACAUCGGAUAAAUCACCACGGGAAUUGCGAUGAACUUUGUACUGAAGAUCAAAGAGAGAGAAGAAGCCAUCUAGGUACUAGAUAUGGACCCAUAGGUCUGUGGUGGAAUACUUAAAAAUCACCAUGGAGGCAACAAGAUUGAUGUAGAUGGCCUCCGUGAUCGACUCCCUCUCUGACAAGGCGUCGAAAAAGGUCUCCAGAUGACCUCCAUCGGAAUAGAGACUUUCGGCAGCGGAAAAAGUGUUUCGGAUGGAUAUCCGUUGGUUUCAUGAUUUUGUAGAAUUUAUGGAGGUGGAAUUAGGUUAGAUGGAGCCACGAGGAUCCACAAGGCAUCAGGACGCACCUACCCCCUGGACGCGCCAUGUUGCGUUGUCGUUUUCUUGUGUGUAGUAUGGUCUCCGUCUGAAACUUCCAGGUCCUAUUUUUGUCCAAAAAAAUCAUCAAAAAUGUUUCGUAGCAUUUGGACUCUGUUUGGUCCAGGUAUCUUGAAAAGUCAAAAACACUGAGAAAACGACAACUCGCACUUGGCAAUGGAUUAAUAGGUUAGUCUCCAAAAACAAUAUAAAAUAACAUAUAAUUGCAUAUAAAGCAUACAUGAUUGAUAAUAUAAUAACAUGGAAUUAUCGAUACGUUGGAGACGUAUCAACAUCCCCAAGCUUAAUUAUUGCUCGUCCUCAGGUAGGUAAAUGAUAAAAACAGAUUUUUUUUAAGUGACAUGCUACCCAACUGUGACAGCCUGAGACGGACGCUCCAGAAGAUUCCCCUUUUAUUCCAUUGCCGCCGUGCGAUUAGAUUGCAUGUCACAUUCAUCAUCGCAUCAUUCGCAUCAUCUGCAUUGCAUCGGCACCCCGCUGCCGUCAGUUUCAAAAACUUACAUCCGUUAUUAGUUGCCAGUUCUCCCCGUGUUCGUCGUUGACCAUUUUGAGACCAACCACACACGCACGCGCCCGCAACAUCGUUAAAAUAUUGUUUGUAAAAGUGUGUAUAAAACAUUCUCGAAUUGGGUUGAAACUUGGCGUGCGGUCUUAUUUUAAUGUAGGUAGGCCGCCUGCCAAAUUUCGUGGCAAUUGGAGUUUGUUUGAUACACGUACCGUUAAUUAUAUAUCGGCACUAUAGCCGGUUUAAUUGUCGGACGUUUUCGCGUUUAAUACUCUGCCACGGGCCACACUAUUUCCCUCUCAUCCCCCCAUAGCCCAACUACACAGUCCACUAGACCCAUCUAGCAACUUCCUUCGUUCGUGGUCGUCGGAUCGCGAUCGGACGGACGAGGUCCAACCCACCAUAGCCUAACCCUAUAUAAGACCCACCCCAUGGAGAGAGCUCUCUCUCUCUCUACUAGGGUUUCCUCUAGCCAAAUUUGCAGCCACCCCCUAGAAAAUCCCACCUGCUAAGCCAAACCCUCUAAAUCCCGCAGCCCUAGCCUCCCCAGCCCAUCUCAUCCAUCAAAUCUUGAUCUAAGGGCUCAGAUCGCCCGGAAACCCCACCUACCGGACAUGUCCGCGGCCAAAUCGGACAUGUGCGGGUGUCCACAACCUCCCGGAGCCAUGGAGGAGCCCGAGCUCCCAUAGCCUCCGCGCCCGAGUAGCGCGCUGCAGCACCCGCCAUUCCCCGUCGGAGCGUGUGGCCCCCGAGCUCCUUCGUCGGAGAGCCGCCGUGUGGCCGCCUCCUUGCCGCAACUACAACGUUAGUCGGCGCCGUCCAAGCUGCCGCGGACCACCGCCGGUAGCCACCUGGAGCUGCUCCGCCGCCGGCCCUCCCUAGGUCUUCUUCGGCCAUGGAUCCGACAGAUCCCUCCUUCCCCAACCGGAUCCACCUCCCCGCUGGUGCCUCGCCCCCGCCUCGCCUGCUGCCCGCCGUCGCCGUCGGCUGCCGUCGCCACCAUGGCCUCGCUCGCUCGGGAUGAGGACGACCGACGCAACAACACGUGGGCUGCAACUCGCGUUGCCAUGGGCCGUCCUCCAACUGCCCGCGCCCCAGCCCAGCAAGCCUCGAGGCCCAUCGGGCGUGCUCCCCCGUGCCUGGCCGAGCCGGCCUCCUCCUCGCAUCGGCCCAGCACCGCGCCGAGGCCGGCCAACCCACCUUCAAGCUGGGCCUCAAGCCCACAAGGUGAGCGCCCCGCUAAGCCCCGCCCUGAGCGCGUUUUAAUCAAAUGCCGCUCGCUGCCAUGUUAGGCCCAAAUCAUAUUCGACCCUUUAGUUUUUAUUUAGGUUUUUCGGAUUUAUUAAUUUCAGCAAAAGGCAUAUUUUCAAACGUCCGUAGUUUUUAAACCGUGCGUCGGAUCGCGACAAAUUAUAUAUGUGGAACGUGUAGAAUUUUGCGUAGAUUAAUAUUUUUCAACUCUCAUGCAUAGUUAAAACUUUUUAGCAUACUGUUUGCAUCGGUUUGCGUGUCGAUGUGAUAGAAAUGAUUUAGGUCGUAGUUAAUUAACCGUAGCUCCGUUGGAGAUGAGCCAUAUAUGUUAAUAGACCAGAAUGACGAGUAGAAUGUGAACCACUUUGUUUUUCCGUUUAACAAACAUAAAAAGUGAUUAGGACAGAUCUGGACAGAUUGCAAAGUUAACGCGUGGGGUCGUUUCAGAAAUGCUAUAUGUUGUUUCCGGCCUCAUUUAAAAUGCUUAGAUAGAGUUUAAUUUGUGCUUCACCCCUUGCCAUGUUUAACAAUAUUCAAUAUUUCCGUGUAAAUAAACGGGAGUGAACUAAAUAAUUAAAUAUGGAGUUUCGUCAAUACGCAACUUGUUGCAUAUUGGGCUUCACUUAAUGUGUAGUGUUUGCGUGAUGUGAAUUGCCAUGCCAUGCAUUGCAUAUUUGAAAUGGUUAUGCAUCAUCUUAGGUAGUGCAUCAUGUCGUGCCUAUGACGUGGUGAAUACUGUGUGUUGAUACUUGUUUUCGGUUUGCUUCGUGUCGAUUUUAGUUCCGCAAGCGUCUCGGAUUGUGAGGAUCCGUUUGACUACGUCGGUUCGUCUGCUUCACGGAGUUCUUUCUUCUUCCAAGCGGUAUUACAUGCACGAUGAUCAUUUCCCUAGAUACCAUUACUAUCAUCACCAAGCUAGUUGUAUCGUUUCUAUCAUUAUGUCUUGCUGCCUACGACCUGUUUAAUAUCAACCUCCCAACCUUGCCAUGAAAACCUUCAACCUUUCUACAACCUAAGAAACCACUGACUGGCUAUGUUACCGCUUCCUUAACCAUUUGAUAGAGUUGCUAGUUGCAGGCGCAGUUGCCUCCAUGUGAUAACAUGGGUUCCUUGUUAUAUUACCAUAUUAAUGCUAUUUAAUUUAAUGCACCUAUAUACUUGGUAAAAGGUGGAAGGCUCAGCCUUUCUAGCCUGGUGUUUUGUUCCACCUUUGCCCUCUUAGUUUCGGCUACCGGUGUUAUGUUCCAUAAAUGAGCGCUCCCAACAUGCUUGGGGUUGUUAUCGGGACCCCCUAGAUUCUCUUUUUGGGAUAAAGCUCGUCUGGCAAGGCCCAACAUUGGUACUAUUUGCCCAAUAAAAAACUAAAACAUGCAUAGGGUUUGAUCACCCCAUGGAUAAUUAAUCAAUCCCCGGGCCAGUGCUCCGCAUCAGUGAUGGUCCAACCUGUCAACCGCCAGUGGCUACCAGGGGCAACUCUGUGAUUGGCCUACCGAAAGUUUGGACAAUCUAUCGUGUCCUCAGAACGAGAUACUCAGCUCCUAUCAGGAUCGUCGACACGCCGGGCGGCCUUGCUGGACUUGUUUUACCUUUCUCAAGCGUCUUGUGCGAGGGAUUCCGAGGAUACUUUUGGCUAUCUCGAGGUUCAGGUUUUCCAAUAGGAACCCGAGGAGAUCACGGGUUUCCCCGAUCGAGGUCAUUCCGUCGCAGCGUGUGGUAGUUUGUGAUGGACUAGUUGGAGCAUCCCUGCAUGGUUAAAUCUUUCGGAAAAGCCAGGCCCACAGUUAUGUGGCAAUGUGGAAACUUUGUUUAACAUCCUGUUAUAAUAACUUGAAGUAAGCUUAAUUAAAAUAUGCCAACUGAGUGCGUAACCGUGACUAUCUAUUUUGUGAGCUCCUUCUCCGUUCGAGGACACGGUGGGGUUAUGUCUGAUGUAAGUAGGUGUUCAGGAUCAUUCUUUUGAUCAUCAGUAGUUCACAUCCGCUAUGCGUAGAUCAUCCCCCCUCUUUACUCUUGUACUCGUAAGUUAUCCACCAAAUAAAUGCUUAGUCGCUUGCUACAGUCUCACCACUUAAGCAUACCUCACCCAUUAAGCUUUGCUAGUCUUGAUACCUUUGGAAAUGAGAUUGUUGAGUCCCCGUGGCUCACAAAUUACUACAACACCAGUUGCAGGUAAAGGUAAAGUGAUAUUAUGAUGUGCGCGCGAUGAUUGUGCUAUUUGGAGUUUCUUCUUCUUCUUCUUUGUCGAUCUAGGAUCGGUUCCAGGCCGGCAGCCUGGGAUAGCAAGGAUGGACAUCGUUUUUAUCGUUUGUUUUCGUCCGUAGUUGUACCCUGCUCUUCUUCAUGAUGAUUGUAUGUAUUGUACUGAUGUGACUCUGAUGUAGCUUGUGGCGAGUGUAAGCCAACUCCUUAUACUCAUCUUUUCAUUGUAUGUACUUGCAAGGAUAUCCAUUCUUGCGAAACGACGAGAUGCGUUUCUAUCCCUACCGAGGCCCUUGCGCCAAAAUAAGGAUAGGACCGCAUCUUGGGCGUUACACCAAUAUGUAAUCUCUUUUAGGUAUGAUCUUGAGAAAUGUUGAACUAAUUGAUAUCAACAUAAUAAUAUCCAUAAGCACAAAUGACAUAAUCAUUGAUAUUCAAAAUAUAUGUUCCUUAAAGAAUAUUACUCCCUAGUCAUUUUUAUCACAUUAGCAUGGCAUGACUCCGUCCUCACCGCAUAAGUAUAAAUCAUGAGCACCUCGGUGUCAAGUCAGGUAAUUGGAUCGUAUUUCUAACAUGCUUCAACAUUUUAAACCUCACUUAGUACACGAGACUGAACCAUGGAUAUGUCAUAUGGGUGGAAUAGAAUAUGGUGGUAGAGAUCAAAAUGAGUCAAAGUGGAAAAACAAUUCUCACAUCAACUAAGCGGACAACGUGCUACGGAUAUGCCCGUCAAUCAAUAUCGAUGUGAGGAGUAGGGAUUACCAUGCAAGAGUUGCUUGAUACUUGUAAACUGCGUUGGGAUUUUCUGGGAGGUGCAACACAGUAGAGAUAAGUAUUUCCCUCAGUGAAAACUAAGGUUAUCAAACCAAUAGGAGGACCACGCAAGUUCUCGUCUUCAGCGCCUAGACACAAAAGAGCACACACUUGCACCCAAUGAAGGGAAGAGGGUUGCCAAUCCCCUUGAACUCGUUACUUGCAAGCCAUAAGUAGUGAUAGAUAGAUUAUAUAUAUAAUAAAAUAACAUUAAAUAAGAGACAUCAAUAUUUUUGGUGUUUAAAAUAUAUUUGUGAAGACCCCGGGGGGCAUAGUUUUCGCUAAAGGAUUCUCUCUCGAAGAAAGCAUACGGUUGGUAAACAAAUUACUGUUGGGCAAGUGAUAGAAAAGCACAUAGUUAUGAAAUAUUUAUUCAUGACAAUGAUCAUAUAUAUAGGCCUCACAUCCAUAAGCAAGUAGACCCACUCCUGCCUGCAUCUACUACUAUUACUCCACCCAUCGUGCGCUAUCUAGCAUGCAUCUAAAGUAUUAAGUAAAAAAGAGUAAUGCUUAGGGCAAAGUGACAUGAUGCCGACAAAGCAAACUCAAUAGAUAUGAAUAAACCCCAUCAUUUUACCAUUAAUGGUAGCAAUAAAAUACGUGUCAUGUCCCUUUCUGUCACUGGGAUUGAGCACCGCAAGAUUGAACCCAUUACAACGCACCACGCCCGGUGAAGAUAAAUCAAUCUAGUUGGCCAAACCAAAUGAUAGAUCGAAAAGAAAUACAAAUCUAUCAUAAUCAUGCAUAUAAGAACUUAGAGAUGACUCAAAUGCUUUUCAUGAAUAAUCUGAACAUAAACCCACAAUUCAUAGGAUCCCAACAAACACAUUGCAAAUUGGAUUACAUAAGAUAGAUCACCACGGGAAUCGUGGUGAUAUUCACAUUGAAGAACAUAUAUAUAUACAUAUAUGUAUAUAUAUAUAUAUAUAGAGAGAGAGAGAGAAUGAGAGAGAGAGAGAGAGAGAUCUACGAACCUGUACGUCUGUGGUAAACUACUCACACAUCACCAUGGGAGGAGAAAGGUUGAUGUAGAGGCCCUCCGUGAUUGAUCCCCCCUCUGGCUGGGCAACAAAAUAGGGCUCGAGAUGUGAUCACGGCGGAACAGAGACUUGCAGCAGCGGAAAAAGUAUUUUAGGUCGGUUCAAUCUUGGGGUGCUCAAUCCGAGUGAAAGAAAGGGACAUGCAACAUAUUGCAUUGCUUCCACUAAGGGUAAAACAAUGGGGGCUCAUUCAUAUUAAUUGGAUUUAGUUUGUCUACAUCAUGUCGUCCUCCAAGCAUUACUCGGUUUUUACUUAAUACUCUAGAUGUAUGAUGGAUAGCGGUCGAUGGGUGGAGUAGUAGUAGUAGAUGCAGGAAGGAGCCAAUCUAUUUGCUUAUGUACGUGAUGGCUAUAUACAUGAUAAUUGCCAUGAAUAAAUAUAGCAUGACUAUCCGCUUUUCUACCAAUGGCCCAAUAGUAAUUUGGUUGCCCACCUUGUGAUUUCUUCGAGAGAGAAGCCUCUAGCAAAAAUUAUGACCCCCCGGUCUCUUCACAAAUAUAUCACUACACUACAAAAAUACCUUGAUGCCUUUUAUUAUUUGCAUUUACUUUUUCUAUUUAAUAUAUUUUUAUUAUCUAUCUAUCACUACUUAUCGCUUACAAGUAACGAGUUCAAGGGGAUUGACAAUCCUCUUGCCCAUGUUGGGUGCAAGUGUGUGCUCUUUUGUGUGUAGACGCUAAAGAGAGGAAAUUGGAUGGUCCUCCUAUUGUUUCGAUAAUCUUGGUUCUCACUGGAAUACUUACCUUUACCGUGCUGCAUCAUCCCCUCCUCUUCGGGGAAAAUCCCAAAGCAUUUCACAUGUAUGAGGAAGGAUAUCUCGCGCAUUGUGGGGGAGUAUCACCAAGUUCGUAUCAAGUAACUUCACACAAAUUAUCAUUCACUUGUUCUAUUUUUUACUUGUUGUUAUAUUUUAGUGAUAUAAAAAACAAAAAAAAACAAAAAAGUAUCUUUGCUAGUUUACUUGUUUGCUUGUUACUUUGCUACUUUGGUCACUAUGUCUCUACAUAGAUUCUAUAAUAUUUAUUACAACCAAAGGUUGGCCGCAAUUGAAAGCUCCAUGAAAACUUUCAUGACCACACAACAUGAGCACAAUAAAUUCUUUGGUGCCGAAAUCAAGGAACAUUCUAGCUUGCUAGAUGCUAUUAGUAAAGAACUUGAUGAAGUCAAUAGGGAAGUAUCUAAUCUCCAAUCAAAAUUUGCUCAAACUGAAGAAUUUAUAGGAAAGAUAUCUGAUAAGCGAACCACUCUAGUAAAGAGCAUGGCCACUAAACCAGAAUAUUUCCCUAUUAUUAAUCAUGAUGAAUAUCUUAAAAUGAUUGGUACUUAUCCCAUUAAAUCUUUGUUUACUAAUCAAAAAAUAGAUGAUAAAGGGACUAUAGAUGAGCCAUCUUUAUCUAGAAGGCACCCCGUUUGUUCGGUGGUGAGUAUCUUAAUGAUAAAAAAUAGGUUUGGGGAAGUCAGUAAUUUAACUAGUGAUGCCCCACUAUCUUGGAUUACAAGGAUUUUAAUUAUGAGAGUUGUUCGUUAGUAGAAUGUAUUUCCUUGUUGAAAUCCAUUAUUACCUCACCCAAUGCCUAUGAACAAAAUAAAGCUUUUACCAAACAUGUAGUAGAAGCGAUGGUAAAAUCUUAUAAAGAGAAACUUGAGCUAGAAGUUAUCUAGAAAAUAUCAUGAUGAAUGUGUAGAAUCCGAAGUAUGUCUAGGGGGAGGGGUGAUUAGACUACUUGACAAGAUAAAAACUUAGCCUUUUCCCAAUUUUAGUUGUGGGCUGGUUUUAGCAAUUAUGACUAGUCAAGUUCACCCUACACAUGCAUAUCUAAGAGUGUUGUAGCGAAAAGUAAAGACAUGCAAAUGUAAUGUAGAGGGUAAUGUAGGAAGAUCAAACACAAAGAUUGACAUGGCGAUUUUGGCAUGGUUCCGAUAGGCGGUGCUAUCGUAUGUCAACGUUAGUAGAGACUUCAACCCAUGGAGGGUAACGACUACGGGAGCCCAUGGAGGGUUCCACACACAAGGGUUCCACAAAGAGGCGGCCUUGUCUAUUCCACCAUGGCUUACGUCCACACAGGACUAGCGUCACUCAUGGUAGAUCUUCACGAAGUAGGCGAUCUCCUUGCCCUUACAAACUACUUGGUUCAACUCCGCAACACGAAGUAGGAGGCUCCCAAGCGACACCUAACCAAUAUAGGAGGCACCACCCUCCAAAAGGUAAUAUAUGCGGUAGAUCGAUGAACUCCUUGCUCUUGUGCUUCAAUAGAAAGUCACCUCAACAUUCAAUCACUCUCUCACAGAUUUGACAGGGGUAGGAGAGAUUGAUCUUGUGGAAAGCAACUUGGGGAGGCUAGAAACCAAGGUUCAAAUGGUUAGAUUGGAAUCUCUUGAUCUGAACACAUGAGUAGGUGGCUCUCUUUGAGAAAAAAUGGAUCACGCAAGUGUAAGUGUGUUCCGAGUGCUUCCUCUAUGAAUGCGAGGAGGUGGAUGGGGUAUAUACAGGCAUCCCCCAAAAUCCAACUGUUACAACAUUAUUUCCCAACUCAGUGACACCGAAAUGAAUCUCAGUGGUACCGAGUUGCACUAAAUGUGGUAACUUUUGAAUUCUCAGUGAGACCAAUAUAUAAAUCUUGGUGGUACCGAUACGAUGAUCUAGACCUGAUCCCAAAUCUCGGUGAGACUAAUUCCAUUCUUGGAAAUUCCGAUUUCUGGAAUUUGCUCAACAGAAAGUUGGUCACUAAAUCUAGGUAGCACCAAUAUAGAAGUUGGUGGUACCAAGAGAUUAGGGUUUGGCAAAGGAUGUUUCUGGUGGAAAAUCGGUAGGGCCGAAUGGAAAAAGUUGGUGGCACCGAUUUUUCUAGUUUAGUUUUGGACAGAGAUAUUUUGUGGGAGAAUGAAUGAGUAUUUUUGGUGGCUACCUCUAAGCACUUGAGAAACUAAUUCAUCAUAAUACCUCACUCCCUUUUAAAAGUAUUGUCUUUCAUAUGGACUCAAAGUGACUUCUCACAAAUGAAAAAUGUAGAGUCUUCUUGCUUGACGCUUGAGCUAAUCCUAUUCCUUCCUUUAUCAACGGGUUUCUCCUCACAAUCCUUUAGACAAAGAAUCUUUGAAAUUUUCUGAAAUAUACUUGGAUAAGAUCAUUAGUCCAAUGAUGCAUAUGUUCUGAUCAAUUAUCGAAACCACCUUAGGCACCAGUUGUGCUUUCAAUCUCUCCCUUUUUGGUAAUUGAUGACAACAUAUAGAUCAAAGCUUCGACAAAAGAUAUAAUGAAUGAUUAGCAUCGAUGCCUUGAGAAGUAUGUGAAAAGAAAGAGCUCCCCCUAAAUUUGUGCAUUAUUUUAAAUUUUCCUUUGAAUGCAAAUGCACAAUCGAGUAGGAUCAUGGGUCACUCUUCCAUGUCACAUACAACUUGGUGGUGCGCAUAAAUGAUAUGAAUGAAUUGUAAUGCACAUAACACCAACUAGGCAAGUGAAUGAUCAUCAUGUAGAUAGCUCAAAAGUAAUAACAUGGUAACAUCAAACAAUCAAAGUAUAUGAUCAAGCACUUCUCCUAAAGGAUAAAGUCAUCCAGAAGACCAAAAGUUUUGAAAAACCAAAUAAGAGCAAAUAAAAAGCAAAUCUCUCUUUCUCUCUUGAAGCCCUAUUUGAUCUAUGCACUUCUCCCCCUUUGGCAGCAAGUUACCAAAAAGUUCAAAGGUCUAGAACUAAUCGUUUCUCUGGGCUCGAUUGCCUCUGAUAGCUAAUGAUGGAGUGGAAAAAAGAGCAUCAACGAAGGCUUCUGCAGAUGUCCCUGGAGCACGAGGUGUAGACACUGGAGGUGGAGGAGCAAGAAGGUGCUGAAGCUUGGGCUGAUGAAGUUGGUCUUGUUUCAGAGCUGACACAACCGCUGACCUAGUCUGGGUCGUGAACUCAGUAGUAGUGGGAAGGGGUGACUCUUCAUCAUCACUGCUCGAGUGGGAUAUAUGCACUAAAUCAACUUCAUGCUAGAUCUGCUCAACAGUGGUAGUCAACUCCAUUACCUUGAUAUCCAGGUCAUGGAAUUUUGUCUCCACAAUCCUCUAGAGGCUCUUGUGGUUCAACAAGAUCUCAUGAAUUUUCUUCUGCAUCCCUUGGACGGUGCUGACAAGGAAUGACAUAUGCUCAUCUCUGGUCUUGAGCUGUGGAGCUGGAGAUGGAGCAUUCCUAGCGGCCUCUACCUCUGCUCCCUCUCGAGCUGUAGCUGAGCUGGGAUGGCUAGAGUCCAUCACAACUUCAUUGUCUUCAAACUUUGGCUGAAGUGGCAGGUGGGGACAAUCAAGUAGAUAUGCAAGCUUGCCAAUCUUGGCAUUGAUGAGCAUCUGAAUAUAUGGAGCAUAUCCACGCGAUCACUUCUAGUCUGUACGAGUCCUCCUGACAGUCUCAACUAUCAAGUCCAUUACUCGAAACCGGGUGUGGGUGUCUAGAUGAUGUAGUAUAUUGAUGGAAUAACCUCUAAUCAUCUUACCAUCUCCUGAUUUGGGCAUCAGGGCGUAUCUCAUAAUGGUGUUUUUAGUAGGUAUUCGUACUUGCAAAAAGUAGACAAAGCCAAACUUGUGCGUCUGCACACAUUUAUGGGGCACUGGCUUGUACAUAUUUUCCAUGGAGUUAUGAUUCAUCUUGGGUUAUGAGUAUACAUCCAGGUCUCCUUCUUGUGCCUUUGUGACACCAAUAAUAGUGGCCCACUCGUCCAUGGUAGACUCAUACUGGUGACCUUCAGUCAUCCAUACAAUACUUCCAUUAGAAUAAAAAUGAGCGAUGGAAUAUAAUUGCAUGAUCAUCGCAUCGUUUCAUGCAGUCAUCUCNNNNNNNNNNNNNNNNNNNNNNNNNNUUCCCUACAAAAUCUUCAAUGUCGACUAGCUUGAAGUUUUCUCUCACAUGAGGAAAAUAAUGUUCAUUGGCCUUGAUGUAUUCCCAAUUGACAUAUCUCAUGUCACUGACUACAGGACUCUUGUCAAGCAACACCAUCUCAUAGAAAUCUUGUUGCUCUUUGGUGUGAAAGCGGGGAUCAAUAACAAUUAUCCUUUUGACAUCAUAAGGAUCAACUUCCAUCCAGUUCCCCAGUCCUUGAUCUAUUCUCCUUUCAUGUCCUCAGCAACUGGAUGACCAUCAUUGUGCGAUGGCAAAUGAGUUCUCGACUUCAUUAGCAUAGGUGCAUCCUCUUCCUCCUCUCCAACAAACUCUCUGGAUGCAUAGCCUUUGUUCUUCUUUGUUGCAGGGGUGUCCUUGGUAGUCCUCUUGGGAGCUACAAGCUUCUUAGGAGCUGAAGACUUCUUGGGAGCAGAAUGCUUCUUUGGCAUUGCAACAGCCAUUAGCUUCUUCUUCUUAGGAGGUGGGACCUCAGCUGGAAUUUCUUCCUCCUCGUUAUCAACAGCUUCUGCUGGGUCUUCGUACAUUGAGGUUGGCCUACCAACAUCAUGGACAAUUCUCUUUCUCACUCUCUUUUGACCUGACUUCUGUGCAAGACUAGCUUCCGGAGCUUUUAUGUCAUCAGGUCUCGCAUCUCGUUCCUCAGAGUCUUCCUGACUGUGGUCUUCUCUUUGUGCUUCUAGGGAGUAGUUUCCUCUCGGAUAAGGUCAACAUCUUCUUCAUAUGAACUCAACUUCCUUCUGGACCUGGUAGCUGCCUUGGGCAAGCCAUGUGAGCUAAGUGUUCCUUGGUUAGAAGGUGUCCUCUCAGGACUAGUGCCUGAGUCCAUUUUAGCACUAGGCUCACUAAAGUUGUUCUGAUAUUCUCAGAUCCUGACAUUCUGUCAAAACGGCCAAGCAGACAAGCAGACCCUAUGAAAGGAUAUGUAGGAGCUAGAAAGGAUGAGCAUCAUAAAAAUCAGAAGUUUUUAAAAAAUUGAACUCUGAAAAGUUAGGUUUAACAUUCAGCAAUAAGGGAUUUCAGUUCCACCGAGUCGAAAAAUUCGUAGCCACCGAGACUGACUUUCUCAUUAACACAAACUUGGCACCCGUUUUGGUUUCACCGAAAAGGACAACUCGGUAUCACCGAGAUCAUUCUUAGUAGCCUGAAAACAAAAUCGAUAAGACCGACUUUUUUUAAUCGGUAACACCAAGAUUUAAUCUUGCGGACGAGUAACCCUAAUAAUCCAUUGUUCUCUAAUCUAUGAGAAUUCUCUUAUGGAUAGAAUGAGUGCACAAGUGGACAAAUUUCAUCACAGCCUAAUUGCGCAAGAAUCAGAAUUUGGAACGCAAAAAGGGCCAAAUCAAUACCCUAGCUUGGUGACGGAUCCGCUAUGGCGGCGACGACGGUGAAGAUUCCUGUCGAUGGCGAAGACUCGUGUGGCGAGGGCGCAUGAGAGAUUCAAGGUGAUGUCCAAGGGACCAAGGCGCGGCAACAAGGUGGUGCGGGAGGCGAGGUUUGAAGAAUUUUUCCAACCGUCGGGUCCAUGAUAUAUAUAUAUAUAUACACAUAUACAUAUAUAUAUAUAUAUCCUAGCUCUCGGUGACAAUAGGAUGGAAUUUUAGGUGCCACCGAGUUCCAUAACUGUCAGUACACAGUGAAACUCGGUGAGGCCAAAAAUGACAACUCGGUGGUACCGAGAUGAGAAAAUCCGAUCAACCCUAGGCUUCGGUGGGACUGAGAUUUUGAGGUUGGUCACACCGAGAUGCACUUUUGGAGGUUUUGAAAUUCAGCCCUUGGCGAGAUGGAUCUCCGAGUGCUCCUCACACAUAGUGUCCCUAAAGUGCUUGCUCAAAUUUUGUGAUGUAGAAUGAAAAGAAUUUGAGACGAGAAAGCAUAGAUAGCUAGAGGGAGGUACUUAGGCAUNNNNAUAGAUAGCUAGAGGGAGGUACUUACGCAUUCCUGUAUAUCCAAAUGGACAAUAAAAAUAGAAAGCGAGUUAACAACAAUUGGAUAUCAUCGAAUGAGAAAAAUAUGCAUACCAACAUGCUCACACAACAAGAUGUCAAAUAAAACAUGGUGAACAUGCACAAAUUUUGUAGCAUCAAUCAAGCACUUUGGAAAUGAUGAAGUAAUCUAUAUAUGAGUAUAUUGACUUAGAGCCAAUUAAGAAUACUUGAUCAUAGGUCAUACUCAUCGAUUAAGCACAGGUGGGGUUACCACUUUUACAUAAAGCAUUAAUGUGUUCACAUCUUUUGGGAGAUGCUUAUACUCAAGUCUUAGAGUAAAGCUCCCCCUUGAUGUGACAUCCCCCUAAGAGGGAUAAACUAACCUUGGGUUUUGUCGUAGAAGACUUCAAGUAGGUGUAGUAGUGGUGGAUGCUCAUUGUAGAUGAAGAUCAUCUUUGAGUUGGGAGCAAUCCUUGUUGUUUCUUACUCUUCUCACCUACAUGGGUUAGUCCCAAAGCACAAGGAACAUAUGGAAGAAUAUCUAUGGACAUGGAAUAAAGUGCAUGUGAGUUGAUGUCCAAAGAUGCAUUAAUUACCUUGUCCAUUGCUUACCUUUGACGGAAGGUGUGACUCCUUGAACUGAUGCAUACGGUUGGAGUUGAUUGCAUAUAGUUCUUGCCAAAAUUAAUGAGAGUGAAUUUCAUUGGCGGAGUCACCCCUGAAGAACUCUAUAGUUCUUCCUAAUGGGGACCCACAUCAACUUGAUGGGGAUCCUUGGAGUUGUGGUAGCACUAGAUGAGGUUGUGCUAGAAGUGUCCUUGGAAACCCACUCAACCUUGGCUUGGGGUUCUUCUUCAAAUGAGUCAAUCUCCUCUUGAAUCUUGUCCUUGCCCUUGUGGUCUUGUGGUGGAAGGUCAUCUUGAAAUCUUCUUUCCUUGGGAGGAGUAGGAUCAUACUUAUCCUCUCGAGGAACAAAUUUUGUAAUGGGAUAUGAACUUUCUUCCCAUUAAUCUCCGUUGUCAUUGGAGUAGCCAACACCUUGAUUCUUCUGAUGUCCUCCUUGCUUGCGCACAAUUUCCUCAAACUGCUUACAUGCGGCAAGACUCUUGAAGACACCUCUCUCUAUAAUUCCUUUCAAUAAGUCAUUUUCUUGCUAAAGUGUAACUUGGAUAAGAGAAUCAUUAGUGGAAUCAAGACAACUACUAGCAACAAUAUCAUUUGAUCUAACUUAAGCAUUGUUGUUACUAGAUGAAGAAACUUUCUUGCCUUUGUUACUAGUGUUCAUAGGUUUGACUUGUUGGAAUUAUGCCCUAGAGGCAAUAAUAAAUAUAGUUAUUAUUANNNNNNNNNNNNNNNNNNNNNNNNNNNNNNNNNNNNNNNNNNNNNNNNNNNNNNNNNNNNNNNNNNNNNNNNNNNNNNNNNNNNNNNNNNNNNNNNNNNNGGCUCUAUGCGCCAAGGAGAAGAAAAUCAAGAGAGAAAGAAAAAAAAGGAGGAGGUGGGAAGGAAGGGGACUCUCUCCCACCAAACCUAGUCCAACUCGGUUUGGGGGGGAGAGUCCUCCCCCUUGGACUCGGCCGACCCCCUUGGGGCUCCUUGAGCCCCAAGGCAAGGUCCCCUCCCUCCCACCUAUAUAUACGGAGGGUUUAGGGCUGAUUUGAGACGACUUUUCCACGGCAGCCCGACCACAUACCUCCACGGUUUUUCCUCUAGAUCGCGUUUCUGCGGAGCUCGGGCAGAGCCCUGCUGGGACGAGGUCAUCACCAACCUCCGGAGCGCCGUCACGCUGCCAGAGAACUCUUCUACCUCUCCAUAGUCAUCACCAACCUCCGGAGCGCCGUCACGCUGCCGGAGAACUCUUCUACCUCUCCGUCUCUCUUGCUGGAUCAAGAAGGCCGAGAUCAUCGUCGAGCUGUACGUGUGCUGAACGCGGAGGUGCCGUCCGUUCGGUACUAGAUCGUGGGACUGAUCGCGGGAUUGUUCGCGGGGCGGAUCGAGGGACGUGAGGACAUUCCACUACAUCAACCGUGUUCUCUAACGCUUCUACUGUACGGUCUACAAGGGUACGUAGAUCACUCAUCCCCUCUCGUAGAUGGACAUCACCAUGAUAGGUCUUCGUGCGCGUAGGAAAUUUUUUGUUUCCCAUGCGACGUUCCCAACAGAUAUGUGUUGGACAAGACAUUUUUUCAAUAGCAUCAACUUUAGCUUUAUCAACUUCAAUACCUCUUUCAGAGAUUUUGUGUCCCAAGACGAUGCCUUCAUUAACCAUAAAGUGGCACUUCUCCCAAUUCAAGACAAGAUUAGUUUCUUCACAUCUCUGCAAAACUCGAUCAAAGUUGCUCAAGCAAUCAUCAAAAGAAGUUUUGUAAAUGAAAAAAAUCAUCCAUGAAAACCUCAACAAUCUUUUCACAGAAGUCAUAGAAUAUAGCCAUCAUACAUCUUUGAAAGGUAGCAGGUGCAUUGGAUAAACCAAAAGGCAUACGUCUAUAAGCAAAGGUACCGAAAGGGCAAGUAAAAGUGGUCUUCUCUUGAUCCUCUUUAGAUACAGGUAUUUGAGAGAAACUAGAGUAACCAUCUAGAAAGCAAAAAUGUGUAUGUUUGGAUAGUCUCUCUAGAAUUUGAUCUAUAAAAGGUAGCGGGUAAUGAUCUUUCCUAGUAGCCUUAUUUAAUUUCCUGAAAUCCAUUACGAUUCUAUAUCCUGUAACAAUUCUUUGUAAGAUUAAUUCAUCUUUAUCAUUAGGAACAACGAUAAUAGCUCCCUUUUUAGGGGCACAAUGAACAGGACUAACCCAUCUACUAUCAGCAAUAGGAUAAAUUAUACCUGCCUCCACAAGCUUUGGUAUUUCAUUUCUUACCACUUCUUCAUCUUAGGAUUUAAUCAUCAUUGGUGAUCAACAACUGGUUUAGCAUGAGGCUCUAUAUUGAUUUUGUGCUGACAUAGAGUGGGACUAAUACCCUUAAGACCAUCAAGAGUAUAUCCAAUAGCGGCAUGGUGCUUCUUCAGAGUUUUCAGUAAUCUCUUUUCUUCAUGCUCUGAAAGGUUAGCACUAAUAAUAACAGGAUAUAUCUCUUUUUCAUCAAGAUAAGCAUACUUUAGAAUAUCAUGUAAUUGUUUAAGCUCAAACACGGGAUCAUCCUUAGGUAGAGGAGGAUCCCUGAGUAUUUCAACAGGCAGUUUGUGUUUCAAGAUAGGCUGGUGAUCAAAGAAAAUCUUAUCUAUUUCAUUCCUUUCAUUCAUAUACAUAUCAUUUUAAUGGUCUAGAAAAUAUUGUUCUAAGGGAUCGGUAGGAGGCACAACAAUAGAAGCGAGACCAAUAAUUUCAUAUUUACUAGGCAAUUCUUUGACAUGGGGUUGCCUACCAAAUUUAGUGAAAAUGAAAUCAUGAGAUGCAUCCCCAAAACUUACAGUAACCAUUUCUUUUUCACAGUCAAUCUUAGCAUUAAUAGUAUUCAAGAAGGGUCUACUGAAUAUAAUGGGAUAAAAAUCAUCUUGUGCGGAACCAAGAACAAGAAAAUCAGUAGGAUACUUUAUUUUCCCACACAAGACUUCAACAUCUCUAACAAUACUAAUUGGUGAAAUGGUAUCUCUAUUAGCAAGCUUGAUGGUAACAUCAAUUUUCUCUAAUUCGGCUGGUGCAAUAUCAUUCAUAAUUUCUUGAUAUAAGGUAAAGGGAAUUUCACUCACACUAGCACCCACAUCACAUAAGGCAUGAUAACAAUGAUCUCCUAUUUUUACGGAAACAACAGGCAUGCCAACAAUAGGUCUAUGUUUACCCUUAGUAUCAGGUCUAGUAAUUCUAGCGGCUUCAUCAUAGAAAUGAAUGACAUGACCAUCAAUAUUAUCAACCAAGAGAUCUUUAACCAUAGUAAUAUUAGGUUCAACUUUAAUUUUUUUUCCAGGUGGUAUAGGUGUUCUAUCAAAACUCUUACGAAUCACAGUUGAAGCUUUAGCAUGUUCCUUUAUCCUAACAGGAAAGGGUGCUUUCUCAAUGUAAGCAGUAGGAAUAACAUGAUCAGUAUUAUAAAUAUUAGUUUCAUCUCAACUUUAAUAGGUUCUACCAGUUUAACUUCAAUGGGGGGAUGCUAUUUAAACCACUUCUCCUUGGGGAGAUCAACAUGAGUAGCAAAAUAUUCACAAAAUGAAGCUACUGUCUCACAGUCAAGUCCAUAUUUAGUGCUGAAAUCACGAAAAGCAUUGGUGUUUAAAAAGGAUUUAACACAAGCAAACUUAAGGAUUAUACCUGACUCAUUACCUUCGUCGAGUUCCCAAUCUUCAAAGUUGUGUUUAAUUCUUUCCAAUAAGUCCCAUUUGAAUUCAAUAUCUUUCUUCAUAAAGGAACUAGCACAAGAAGUGUCGAGCAUGGAUUGAUCAUUGCGAGAGAGCCGAGCAUAAAAAUUAUGAAUAAUAAUUUCUCUCGGGAGCUCAUGAUUGGUGCAUGAAUAUAACAUUGACUUAAGCCUCCCCGAAGCUUGAGCGAUUCUUUCUCCUUCACGAGGCCAAAAAUUAUAAAUAUAAUUCCUAUCUAUUAACCAGAUGCAUAUGAUAAAACUUCUGAUGAAAUUCCAAUUUUAGUCGGUUGUAGUUCCAUGAUCCAAUAUCAUCACAUAGCCUAUACCAUGUCAAUGUAUUUUCCUUAAAAUACAAAGGAAAUACCUUCUUAUUGACAUCAUCCUCGGGCAGACCUGUAAGCUUAAAUAAUCCAGAAACUUCAUCCACAUAGAUUAGGUGCAAAUCACGAGGUAGUGUUCCAUCUCCUGCAUAAGGAUUAGCUAGCAGUUUGUCUAUGAUACCUGAAGGAAUUUCAUAAUAAAUAUUUUCAGCAGGUGCAGCAGGUUGAGGAGCAUAUCUUUGUGCUUCCAGUCGGGGUGAAGAUACCCCUAACAAGCCCCUCAAAGGAUUAUUUUUUAUAGUGACAACUCACAGUAAAUUUCAGCACAAUAUAUAAAUUUUUCCUUACCAAGUUCCACUUACCAAAGGCGCUUCACUCCCCGGCGACGAUGCCAGAAAAGAGUCUUGAUGAACCACAAGUAUAGGGGAUCUAUCUAGUCCUUUAAAUAAGUAAGAGUAUCGAAUCCAACGAGGAGCAGAAGGAAAUGACAAGCGGUUUUCGGUAAGGUAUUCUCUGCAAGCACUGGAAUUACCGAUGACAGAAAGUUUUGUGAUAAGGUAAUUUGUAACUGGUAACAGGUAACAAUUGUAACAAAGGUGCAGCAAGGUGGCCCUAUCCUUUUUGUAGCAAAGGAUAAGCCUGGACAAACUUUUAUAUAAAGAAAAGCGCUUCCGAGGACACAUGAGAAUUUAUGUCAAGCUAGUUUUCAUCAUGCUCAUAUGAUUCGCGUUUGUUACUUUGAUAAUUUGAUAUGUGGGUGGACCGGUGCUUGGGUGCUGCCCUUACUUGGACAAACCUCCCACUUAUGAUUAACCUCUCUCGCAAGCAUACGCAAGUACGAAAGAAGAAUUAAGAUAAAUCUAACCAUAGCAUUAAACAUAUGGAUCCAAAUCAGCCCCUUACGAAGCAACACAUAAACUAGGGUUUAACCUUCUGUCACUCUAGCAACCCAACAUCUACUUAUUACUUCCCAAUGCCUUCCUAUAGGCCCCAAUAAUGGUGAAGUGUCAUGUAGUAGACAUUCACAUGACACCACUAGAGAAGAGACAACAUAUAUCUUAUCAAAAUAUCGAACGAAUACCAAAUUCACAUGAUUACUUAUAACAAGACUUAUCCCAUGUCCUAAGGAACAAACGUAACUACUGACAAAGCAUAUUCAUGUUCAUAAUCAGAGGAGUAUUAAUAAUCAUUAAGGAUCUGAACAUAUGAUCUUCCACCAAAUAAACCAACUAGCAUCAACUACAAGGAGUAAUCAACACUACUAGCAACCCACAGGUACCAAUCUAAGGUUUUGAGACAAAGCUCGGAUACAAGAGAUGAACUAGGGUUUGGAGAGGAGAUGUUACUGAUGAAGAUGUUGAUGGAGAUUGACCCCCUCUCGAUGAGAGGAUCAUUGGUUAUGAUGAUGGCUUCGAUUUCCCCUUGCGGGAGGGAAGUUUCCCCGACGGAAUAGCUUCGUCGGAGGUCUAGAUUGGUUUUGUCGAAGUUCCACCUCGAGACGGCGGUGUCGCGUCCCGAAAGCUCUGAUAUGAUUUUCUCCAUGUCAAAACCCUUCAUAUAGCAGAAGAUGGGCACCCGAGGCCUGCCAGGGGGGUCCACAAGCCUGCAGGGCGCGACCAGGGGGGUGGGCCACGCCCCCUGGCUUGUGACCUCCUGGUGGGUCCCCUCUAGUACUUCUUUCGCCUAUUAUUUUUUAUAUAUUCCAAAACAAUUCUUCAUAACUUUUCAUGACUUUUGGAGGUGUGCAGAAUAGGUUUCUCAUAUUUUCUCCUUUUCCAGUCGAGAAUUCCAGCUGUCGGCAUUCUCCCUCUUCAUGUAAAUCUUGUAAAAUAAGAGAGAAACGACAUAAGUUUUGUACCAUAAUGUGUAAUAAAAUCCCAUACUUGAAUAAAUAUUGAUAUAAAAGCUUGAUGCAAAAUGUAUGUAUCACAUACCAUUGAAAAAAUAGCGUGGUAGAACUUGAAUAAAUCCAAAAAAUUAUGCGAGCACUAAUGUCAAAUCUAAGACUUGAAGUUGGAUGGUUUGAUUUCACCAUAAUGAACCUAACCAUCUAAGUGAAGCUUAGUUCGCUUCUUCCUUCUCUCAUAACUAAAAAUAUCAUAAUGCUAUUUCGUCCAUCUUGUUCUUCUCCCCUCUCUAUUUUCCCCUUAUGUCUCUAAUUUUCUCAUCGGGUUUCUCUAAAAAAAUAUUAACGCGUCACGUGUCAUUGACUUACCAAACAAACUUUUGUAUUUUAUAAUCCAAUAAAUUAUUACCAAAUAAGUAUCUCCUAAAUAAAAUCAUAUUUUCAUACAAUCCCAUAAUUUUUGGAAAAUAAAUUAGCGUGCUAGAAUAUUUAUACCUGUUGCAAUAAAUAAAUAAAAAUUAAAGUCAAUUUAUCUACUCAUAAGACUAAAAAAGAAUGUAAGGUUCUCUUGCCCACCUCCUUAUUUGUCCAACUUUAUGUAUGUUAGAACGUCACAUUGAUAGCCAUGACUCCCAAACCUAGUCGUUGCCACCAAAACUUCCCUACANNNNNNNNNNNNNNNNNNNNNNNNNNNNNUACACAUCGUCACCUUGUCCCUCUCAUCUUCCCCACCUGGUGGCCUUGUUGACAAGAAUAGGAGUGGGAACCCGUAUGAUUCAUUUUCUUUUCCUUAGGUUAUUGUUUUCCUAAUGAAAACAACGAGGUGGUGGCGGUGAUGGAGUGUUGGUAAGGUUUCUUGGGUCACUACCUACCUCGAGGACGUAUGAUCUGGCACCGACGAAGGAUCUAUGAGAGUUUGUGUCCCCAGAUAUGUUGGUCUUGGCAGAUCAAGUGUCUUUUAAGGAGACUAUUGAUUGGCUAUCAGCACAAUGACUUUGUUAGGGAACGUUGCAUGGGAAACAAAAAAAUUCCUACGCACACGAAGACCUAUCAUGGUGAUGCCCAUCUUCGAGUGGAGAUUGGAUCUACGUACCCUUGUAGAUCGCACAAUAGGAAGCAUUAAGAAACACGGUUGAUGUAGUGGAACGUCUUCACGUCCCUUGAACCGUCCCUCAAACCUUCCCACAAACCGUCCCACGAUCCGUUCCGAUCUAGCGCCGAAUGGACGGCACCUCUGCGUUCAGCACACGUACAGCUCGACGAUGAUCUCGGCCUUCUUAAUCCAGCAAGCAAGACGGAUAAGUAGAUAAGUUCUCUGGAAAUGUGAUGGCGCUUCGGUGGUGGUGAUGAUCUACUCCUGCAGGGCUCCGCCCGAGCUUCGCAGAAAUCUGAUCUAGAUGUGAAACUGUGUGGUAUAGGCUAGAGUUGCACAUGGCAAAGUUGUGUCUCAAAAAGCCCUAAACCACCACUAUAUAUAGGAGGGAGGGGGAGGGGCUAGCCUUGAGGCACAAGGCCUCAAGGGUGCGCCGGCCGCCAGGGAGGAGGACUCCUCCUCCUCCAAUUUGGUUUGGGAAGGAGGAGUCCUCCUCUUCCUUCUCACCUCCCUCUUUCCUUUUUCUUUUUCUUUUUUUUGGUAUUUUCUUAUGUGGCGCCAUGGACUCCUUGGGAUAACUCCACCAGCCCACUAAGGACUUGUGGUGCCACCCUAGGGCCUUGGGCUCACUCUCGGGUGGGGUGGUCCCCUCCCGGUGAACACCCGGAACCCAUUCGUCACUCCCGAUACACUGCCGGAAUUGACCGAAACUUUUCGGUGACCAAAUGAAACCAUCCUAUAUAUCAAUCUUCAUUUUCAGAACAUUCCGGAAACCCUCGUGACGUCCGUGAUCUCAUCCGGGACUCCGAACAACAUUCUGUAACCACACAUAUAACUCAAUUAUACUAAAACAUCAUCAAACCUUACGUGUGCAGAUCCUCCGGGUUCAAGAACUAUGUAGACAUGCCCCGAGGCACUCCUAGGUCAAUAUCCAAUAGCGGGACCUGGAUGCCCAUAUUGGACCCUACAUAUUCUCCGAAGAUCUUAUCGGUCGAACCUCAGUGUCAAGGAUUCGUAUAAUCCCGUAUGGCAUUCCCUUUGUCCUUCGGUAUGUUACUUGCCCGAGAUUCGAUCCUCGGUAUCCGCAUACCUAUUUCAAUCUCGUUACCGACAAGUCUCUUUACUCAUUCCAUAAUACAAUAUCACGUGACUUACACUUAGUCACAAUGCUUGCAAGGCUUGUGUGUGAUGUUGUAUUACCGAGUGGGCCCCGAGAUACCUCUCCGUCACACGGAGUGACAAAUCCCAGUCUUGAUCCAUACUAACUCAAUGGACACCUUCGUAGAUACAUGUAGAGCACCUUUAUGGUCACCCAGUUACGUUGCGAUGUUUGAUGCACACAAGGUACUCCUCCGGUGCCAGUGAGUUAUAUGAUCUCAUGGUCAUAGGAACUAAUACUUGACAUGCAGAAAACAAUAGCAAUAAAACGACACGAUCAAUAUGCUACGUUUAUAGUUUGGGUCUAGUCCAUCACAUGAUUCUCCUAAUGAUGUGAUCCAGUUAUCAAGUGACAACACUUGCAUAUAGUGAGAAAACCUUGACUAUCAUUGAUCAACUGGCUAGCCAACUAGAGGCUUGCUAGGGACAUUGUUUUUUCUAUGUAUCGACACAUGUAUCUAUGUUUUCAUUCAAUACAAUUAUAGCAUGGAUAAUAAACGAUUAUCUUUAAACAGGAAAUAUCAUAAUAACUAUUUAUCAUUGCCUCUAGGGCAUAUUUCCAAUAGUCUCCCACUUGCACUAGAGUCAAUAAUCUAGUCUUCACAUCGUCAUGCGAUUUACAUUGUAAUAAAUAUAACACCCAUACAGUUCUGGUGUUGAUCAUGUUUUGCCCGUGGAAGAGGUUUAGUCAGCGGGUCUGCUACACUCAGAUCCGUGUGCACUUUGCAAAUAUUCACGUCCUCUCCUUCGACGUAGUCGCGGAUGAGGUUGAAACGUCGUUUGAUGUGUCUGUUCUUCUUGUGAAACCUUGGUUCCUUUGCUAAGGCAAUGGCACCAGUGUUGUCACAGAACAUAGUUAUUGGAUUUAGUGCACUCGGCACAACUCCAAGAUCCGUCAUGAACUGCUUCAUCCAGACACCCUCCUUUGCUGACUUCGAGGCAGCCAUGUACUCCGCUUCACAUGUAGAAUCUGCUACGAUGCUUUGCUUGGAACUGCACCAGCUUACCGCACCCCCAUUCAGAAUAAAUACGUAUCCGGUUUGCGACUUAGAGUCAUCUGGAUCAGUGUUAAAGCUUGCGUCGAUGUAAUUUUUUACGACGAGCUCUUUGUCACCUCCAUAAACGAGAAACAUUUCCUUAGUCCUUUUCAGGUACUUCAUAAUAUUUUUGACCGCCGUCCAGUGAUCCACUCAUGGAUUACUCUAAAACUUGUGAUACGUCUCCAACGUAUCUAUAAUUUUUGAUGGUUCCAUGCUAUUAUCUUGUCAACUUUGGAUGUUUUAUAUGCAUGAAUAUGCUAUUUCAUAUCUUUUUUGGGACUAACCUAUUAACUCAGUGCCAAGUGCCAGUUUCUGUUUUUUUCCGUGUUUUUGACCCUUUUUCAGACGGAGUCAGAAUGGAAUGAAACUUUACGAUGAUUUUUUUGGACCAAAAGAGACCCCGAAGCUUUGGAAGAAUGCCAGAAGUGCCAUGAGAGAGUCACAAGCCCUAACGGCGCGGCCACCCCCCAGGUCGCACCUUGCAGGCUUGUGACCUCCUCGUUGGCCCAACUGACGCAAUUCCACCGCCAUAAAUUCCUAUAAAUUCAGAAACCCCAGAAAGAAACCUAGAUCGGGAGUUCCGCCGCCGCAAGCCUCUGUUACCACCAAAAACCAAUCUGGAGCCCGUUUCGGCACCCUGCCGGAGGGGGAAUCCAUCUCCGGUUGCCAUCUUCAUCAUCCCGGCGAUCUCCAUGACGAGGAGGGAGUAGUUCUCCCUCGGGGCUGAGGGUAUGUACGAGUAGCUAUGUGCUUGAUCUCUCUCUCUUGUGUUCUUGAGAUGUCUAGAUCUCGAUGUACCGUGGGCUUUGCUAAUAUAGUUGGAUCUUAUGAUGUUCUUCCCCCUCUCCCUAAUGAAUUGAGUUUCCCCUUUGGAGUUAUCUUAUCGGAUUGAGUCUUUGAGAACACUUGAUGUAUGUCUUGCACGUGUCUAUCUGUUGUGAUCAAUUUGCGGGUUCAUGACAUUGGGAACCUAUGCAUAUGGGUUGGCACACGUGGAUUCAUGUGAGUACUUGAUGUAUGUUUUGGUGAUCAACUUGCGGGUUCGUGACAUUGGGAACCUAUGCACAGGGGUUGGCACACGUUUUGACUCUCUGGUAGAAACUUUGGGGCACUCUUUGAAGUUCUAUGUGUUGGUUGAAUAGAUGAUUCUGAGAUUGUGUGAUGCAUAUCGUAUAAUCAUACCCACGGAUACUUGAGGUGACAAUGGAGUAUCUAGGUGAUAUUAGGGUCUUGGUUGAUAAGUAUCUUAAGGUGUUAUUCUAGUACGAACUCUAUGAAAGAUUGAACGGAAAGAAUAGCUUCGUGCUAUUUUACUACAGACUCUUGAAUAGAUCGAUCCGAAAGAAUAACUUUGUGGUGGUUUCGUACCCAACAAUAAUCUCUUCGUUUGUUCUCCGCUAUUAGUGACUUUGGAGUGACUCUUUGUUGCAUGUUGAGGACUAGUUAUAUGAUCCAAUUAUGUUAUCAUUGUUGAGAGAACUUCACUAGUGAAAGUAUGAACCCUAGGCCUUGUUUCCACGCAUUGCAAUACCGUUCGUGCUCACUUUUGUUACUAGUUACCUUGUUGUUUUUGCAAUUUCAGAUUACAAAAACCUAUAUCUACCAUCCAUAUUGCACUUGUUUCACCAUCUCUUCGCCGAACUAGUGCACCUAUACAAUUUACCAUUGUAUUGGGUGUGUUGGGGACACAAGAGACUCUUUGUUAUUUGGUUGCAGGGUUGCUUGAGAGAGACCAUCUUCAUCCUACGCCUCCCUCGGAUUGAUAAAUCUUAGGUCACCCACUUGAGGGAAAAUUGCUACUGUCCUACAAACCUCUGCACUUGGAGGCCCAACAACGUCUACAAGGAGAAGGUUGCGUAGUAGACAUCAAGCUCUUUUUUGGCGCCGUUGCCAGGGAGGUUAGCGCUUGAAGGUAUAUCUUUAGAUCUUGCAAUCGAAUCUUUUUGGUUCUUGUUCUUUCGCUAGAAAACUACAAAAAAAUGGAAUUGAGGAUGCCUCAUAUGCUCCAUCUUUUCAAUGUCUUUCGUGAGCAUGAUGGGAAGGAAAAUUGUGCUCAAGUGCUGAAAGAAGAAUUACAUAGAAUGCUUGGCAUAGAAUAUGUGAAUGAUGAGCAUGAUUGCAAUGUUGUUAGCAUGAAUUCUUUGAAUACCCAUGAUGCUAAUGAUAUGCAAAGCCACAAGCUUGGGGAUGCUAUAUUUGAUGAAGAUGAUCUUUUUAGUUCUUCCACUUUGAAUGAUCAAAAUCAUUUUGAUGAAAGCAUGCCCCCUAUCUAUGAUGAUUAUUGUGAGGAUACUUACGCUAUAAAGAAGAGGGAUGAUAAAACUUGUCAUACUCUCGAGAACCCCUUUGCUAAACCUUGCUUUUUCAUUGUGGACACAAUUUGUAGUGCUCAAGUCUUUUACGAUACUCCCACUACUAUUCUUGAGAAUAGAUUUCCUUAUGUGGAGAGUAGUAAAAUUCCUAUGCUUGUAGAUCAUGAAAAUAAAGCCUUAGGUGCUGGUUAUAUUGUUGAAUUCAUUCAUGAUGCUACUGCAAAUUACUAUGAGAGAGGAUCAUAUGCUUCUACUUAUUGCAAUAGUAUCAAGCUUCCUCUCCAUAUGUUGAAAUUUUUGAAGCUAUGCUUGUUUUGCCUUCCUAUGCUAGUUGAUUCUUGCUCCAAUAAAUUGUUUGAUCACAAAAUCCCUAUGCAUAGGAAUUGGGUUAGACUUAAAUGUGCUAGUCAUUUGCUCCAUGAUGCUCUCGUUGUGUUUCAAUCCUUACCUUCUAUGUGAGCAUCAUUGAAAUCAAUGCCUAGCUAAGGGCGUUAAACGAUAGCGCUUGUUGGGAGGCAACCCAAUGAAUACAUUUUUCUUUGCUUUUUUGCUUCCUGUUAUGUUUUCUCCACACCAUCAUAAUUCAUUUAUGAUUGUGUAUUUUGUGUUUGUUCCAAGCAAAACCGUUAUGAUUAGUCUUGGUGAUGAUUGUUUGAUCAUGCUGGAAAAAGACAGAAACUUUCUGCUCACGAAAAUAAUUUUCAUUUUUAUUCUGUAAGAGCUUUUGAGUUGAUUCUUUUUUCUUCUGAUUUCUAUGUAAUUUUUUCAGACUUUAGUAUGUUUUCACAUUUUUGGAAGUACCAGAAGUUUGCGAAGUAUACAGAUUGCUACAGACUGGUCUGCUGUUAACAGAUUCUGUUUUUGUUGAGUUGGUUGCUUAUUUUGAUGAAAUUAUGGAUAGUAUCGGAGGGUACUAGCCAUGUAAAAGUGAAAAUACAGGAACCCAACACCAACAUAAGUAGAAUUUAAGUUUGCUACAGUACCUAAGGAAGUGGUGAUUUGCUUUCUUAUACUAAUGAUAUCACGAGUUUCUGUUUAAGUUUUGUGUUGUGAAGUUUUCAAGUUCUGGGUGAAGUUCUUAUGGACAAAGAUAUAAAGAGUGGCAAGAGAUCAAGCUUGGGGAUGCCCAAGGCACCCCAAGUUGAUUCAAGGAUGCUGAAAAAGCCUAAGCUUGGGGAUGCCCCGGGAAGGCAUCCCCUCUUUCGUCUUCAAUCCAUCGGUAAUGUUACAUGGAGCUAUAUUUUUAUUCACCACAUGAUAUGUGUUUUGCUUGGAGUGUCUUGUAUCGUAGGAGUCUUUUAUUUUUGUUGUGUCACAAUAAUCCUUGCUGCACACCUUUUUGAGAGAGAGAGACUUGCACUCAUCGUGAUUUUGCUAGAAUGCUCAUUGUGCUUCACUUAUAUCUUUUGAGCUAGAUACUUUUGCUCUUGUGCUUCACUUAUAUCUUUAGAGCUAGUUGAUUUUGCUCUAUGUGCUUCACUUAUAUCUUUUAGAGCACAGCGGUGCGUGGCGUGGUAGUUGGCUUAUGCUAUGAAAGUAGUCCCAAAAGUGGUAGUUAUCCAAAGGGUUACGAAAACUUCCAUCUUCAUGUGCAUUGAAUAGAAAGAGAAGCUUGAUUCCUCUCAAUUAGUUUUGAGAUGUGGUUGUGGUAAUAUUUAAGUUAUGUUAGAAUGGUGUUUUGAAUCUAGAGAUACUUGUGUUGAAGUUAGUGAUUCCCGUAGCAUGCACGUAUGGUGAACCGCUAUGUGAUGAAGUUUGAGCAUGAUUAGUUUAUUGAUUGUCAUCCUUUGUGUAGCGGUCGGGAUCGAGCGAUGGUUUAUACCUACCAACCCUUCCCCUAGGAGUAUGCGUUGAAUGCUUUGUUUCGAUUACUAAUAAAACUUUUGCAACAAGUAUAUGAGUUCUUCUUGACUAAUGUUGAGUACAUGGUUUAGAUGCACUUUCACCUUCCACCAUCACUAUCUUCUUUAGUACCGUGCAACUUUCGCCGGUGCAUAAACCUACCAUAUAGCCUCCCUCAAAACAACCACCAUACCAACCUACUAUGGCAUUUUCAAAGCCAUUCCGAGAUAUAUUGCCAUGCAACUACCACCAUGACAUGUGCCACCACUUCUACAUUGCCAUUGCAUGAUCAUAAGAUAGCUAGCAUGAUGUUUGCAUUGAUGUCUAUGCCAUGCUAGAUCAUUAUCACGGUACACUAUCGAAGGCAUUUCAUAUAGAGUCAUCAUUGCUCUAAGUUUUGAGUUGUAAGUAUUAUGAUCAUCAUUGAUGGAGCAUUGUCCCAUGUGAAAAAAGAGAGGCCAAAUAUGCCCACAAAAAUAAAUAAAUAAAUAAAUAAAUAAAAGAGGCCAAAGAGCCCACCAAAAAAAUGAGAGAAAAAGAGAGAAGGGACAAUGCUACUAUCUCCUUUCCACAGUUGUGCUUCAUAUUAAGCAGUAUGAUCUUCAUGAUUGAGAGUCUCUCGUUUUUUCACCACCAUAUAGCUAGUGGGAAAUUUUCAUUAGAUAACUUGGCUUGUAUAUUCCUAUGAUGGGCUUCCUCAAAAUUGCCCUAGGUCUUCGUGAGCAAGCAAGUUGGAUGCACACCCACUAGUUUUCCUUAAGAGCUUUCACAUACUCAUAGCUCUAGUGCAUCUCUUGCAUGGCAAUCCCUACUCAUUCACAUUGAUAUCUAUUGAUAAGCAUCUCCAUAGCUUAUUGAUAUGCCUAGUCAAUGUGACCAUAUUCUCCUUUUUUGUCUCACAACCUCCACCACUCCAUUCCACCUAUAGUGCUAUAACCAUGGCUCACGCUCAUGUAUUGCGUGAGAGUUGAAAAAGUUUGAGAAAGUAAAGGUGUGAAAACAAUUACUUGGCCAAUACCGAGGUUGUGCAUGAUUUAAAUUCGUUGUGCAAGGAUGAUAGAGCAUAGCCAGACUAUAUGAUUUUGUAGGCAUAACUUUCUUUUGGCCUUGUUAUUUUGAAAGUUCAUGAUUACCUUGCUAGUUUGCUUGAAGUAUUAUUGUCUCCACAUCAAUAGCAAACUAUUGUUUUAAAUCUAACGGAUCUGAAUAUUCAUGUCAUGUGUGAGAAGUUACAAAGGACAACUAUGUUAGGUAGCAUGCAACAUCAAAAAUUCAUUCUUUAUCACUUCCCUACUCGAGGACGAGCAGGAGUUAAGCUUGGGGAUGCUUGAUACGUCUCCAACGUAUCUAUAAUUUUUGAUGGUUCCAUGCUAUUAUCGUGUAAACUUUGGAUGUUUUAUACGCAUGAAUAUGCUAUUUUAUAUCUUUUUUGGGACUAACCUACUAACUCAGUGCCAAGUGUCAGUUUUUGUUUUUUCCAUGUUUUUGACCCUUUUUCAGACGGAGUCCAAAUGGAAUGAAACUUUACGAUUAUUUUUUGGACCAAAAGAGACCCCCGAAGUUUUGGAAGAAGGCCAGAAGAGACACGAGGGAGUCAAAAGCCUUGACGGCGCCGCCACCCCCCAGGCCGCACCAUGAAGGCUUGUGACCUCCUCGUUGGCCCAACUGACGCAAUUCCACCGCCAUAAAUUCCUAUAAAUUCAGAAACCCCCAGAAAGAAACCUAGAUCGGGAGUUCCGCCGCCGCAAGCCUCUGUAGCCAACAAAAACCAAUCUGGAGCCCGUUCCGGCACCCUGCCGAGGGGGAAUCCAUCUCCGGUGGCCAUCUUCAUCAUCCCGACGAUCUCCAUGACGAGGAGGGAGUAGUUCUCCCUCGGGGCUGAGGGUAUGUACGAGUAGCUAUGUGCUUGAUCUCUCUCUCUUGUGUUCUUGAGAUGUCUAGAUCUCGAUGUACCGUGGGCUUUGCUAAUAUAGUUGGAUCUUAUGAUGUUCUUCCCCCUCUCCCUUCUUGUAAUGAAUUGAGUUUCCCCUUUGGAGUUAUCUUAUCGGAUUGAGUCUUUGAGAACACUUGAUGUAUGUCUUGCACGUGUCUAUCUGUUGUGAUCAACUUGCGGGUUCAUGACAUUGGGAACCUAUGCAUAUGGGUUGGCACACGUGGAUUCAUGUGAGUACUUGAUGUAUGUUUUGGUGAUCAACUUGCGGGUUCGUGACAUUGGGAACCUAUGCACAGGGGUUGGCACAUGUUUUGACUCUCUGGUAGAAACUUUGGGGCACUCUUUGAAGUUCUAUGUGUUGGUUGAAUAGAUGAUUCUGAGAUUGUGUGAUGCAUAUCGUAUAAUCAUACCCACGGAUACUUGAGGUGACAAUGGAGUAUCUAGGUGAUAUUAGGGUCUUGGUUGAUAAGUAUCUUAAGGUGUUAUUCUAGUACGAACUCUAUGAAAGAUUGAACGGAAAGAAUAGCUUCGUGCUAUUUUACUACGGACUCUUGAAUAGAUCGAUCCGAAAGAAUAACUUUGUGGUGGUUUCGUACCCAACAAUAAUCUCUUCGUUUGUUCUCCGCUAUUAGUGACUUUGGAGUGACUCUUUGUUGCAUGUUGAGGACUAGUUAUAUGAUCCAAUUAUGUUAUCAUUGUUGAGAGAACUUCACUAGUGAAAGUAUGAACCCUAGGCCUUGUUUCCAUGCAUUGCAAUACCGUUCGUGCUCACUUUUUGUUACUAGUUACCUUGCUGUUUUUGUAAUUUCAGAUUACAAAAACCUAUAUCUACCAUCCAUAUUGCACUUGUUUCACCAUCUCUUCGCCGAACUAGUGCACCUAUACAAUUUACCAUUGUAUUGGGUGUGUUGGGGACACAAUGACUCUUUGUUAUUUGUUUGCAGGGUUGCUUGAGAGAGACCAUCUUCAUCCUACGCCUCCCACGGAUUGAUAAACCUUAGGUCACCCACUUGAGGGAAAAUUGCUACUGUCCUACAAACCUCUGCACUUGGAGGCCCAACAACGUCUACAAGGAGAAGGUUGCAUAGUAGACAUCAACCUGCCUGCCAUACAUAUGGCCAAGCUGGCGUUUGGUCUAGUGCACAACAUUGCAUACAUGAUAGAACCUAUGGCUGAAGAAUAGGGGGACGGAACUCAUUUUUUCUCUAUCUUCCGCAGUUGCUGGGCACUGAGUCUUACUCAAUUUUAUACCUUGUAACACUGGCAAGAACCCUUUCUUGGACUGAUCCAUUUUGAACUUCUUCAAAACUUUAUCAAGGUAUGUGCUUUGUGAAAGUCCUAUGAGGCGUCUCGAUCUAUCCCUAUAGUUCUUAAUGCCUAGAAUGUAAGCAGCUUCUCAUAGGUCCUUCAUAGAGAAACUUUUAUUCAAGUAAUCCUUUAUGCUCUCCAAAAACUCCACGUUGUUUCCAAUCAACAAUAUGUCAUCCACAUAUAAUAUUAGAAACGCCACAGAGCUCCCACUCACUUUCUUUUAAAUACAAGAUACUCCAACUACUUGUAUAAACCCAAAUGCUUUGACCACCUCAUCAAAGCGUUUAUUCCAACUCCGAGAUGCUUGCACCAGUCCAUAAAUGGAUCGCUGGAGCUUGCACACUUUGUUAGCAUUCUUUGGAUCGACAAAACCUUCGGGUUGCAUCAUAUACAACUCUUCCUUAAGAAAACCAUCAAGGAAUGCCAUUUUGACAUCCAUCUGCCAGAUUUCACAAUCGAAAAAUGCAGCUAUUGCUAACAAGAUUCAGAUGGACUUAAGCAUCACUACCAGUGAGAACGUCUCAUCGUAGUCAACUCCUUGAACUUGUGAAAAACCCUUUGCCACAAGUCGAGCUUUAUAAACGGUCACAUUACCGUGUGCGUCUGUCUUCUUCUUAAAGAUCCAGUUGUUCUGAAUAGCCUUGCGGCCUUCAGGUAGUACUUCCAAAGUCCACACUUUGUUUUUGUACAUAGAUCCUAUCUCGGACUACAUGGCCUCCAGCCAUUUGUUGGAAUCCGGGCCCACCGUUGCUUCUUCAUAAUUCGCAGGUUCAUUGUUGUCUAACAACAUAAUUGAUAAGACAGGAUUACCGUACCACUCAGGAGCAGUACGUGAUCUUGUCGACCUGCGAGGUCCGAUAGGAACUUGAUCUGAAGUUUCAUGAUCAUCACCAUCAACUUCCUCCUCAACUGACAUUGCAAUGACAAUGGUUCCCCUUGCCUUGCGCCACCAUCCAGAGGGAUUAGAGGUUCGACAACCUCAUCAAGUUCUAUCUUCCUCCCACUCAAUUUUUUUGAGAGAAACUCAUUCUCAAGAAAAGCUCCGUUUUUACAACAAACACUUUCCCCUAGGAUUUGAGAUAGAAUGUAUACCCAACUGUCUCUUUUGGGUAACCUAUGAAGACGCACUUUUCUGCUUUGGGUUCCAGCUUUUGAGGUUAAAGCUUUUUGACAUAAGCAUCACAUCCCCAAACUUUAAGAAACGACAACUUUGGUCUUUUGCCAUACCAUAGUUCGUAUGGUGUCAUGUGAAUGGAUUUUUAUGGUGCCCUAUUUAAAGUGAAUGCAGCUGUCUCUAAUGCAUAACCCAAAACGAUAACGGCAAAUCGGUAAGAGACAUCAUAGAUCGCACAAUUUCUAACAAAGUACGAUUACGACGUUCGGACACACCAUUACGCUAUGGUGUUCUCGGUUGUGUGAACUGUGAAACAAUUCCACAUUGUCUCAAGUGAGCACCAAACUCGAAACUCAGAUAUUCACCCCCAUGAUCAGACCGUAGGAACUUGAUCUUCUUGUUACGAUGAUUUUGAACUUCACUCUGAAAUUGCUUGAACUUCUCAAACAUUUCAGACUUGUGCUUCAUCAAGUAUACAUAACCAUAUCUACUCAAAUCGUCAGUGAAGGUGAGAAAAUAACGAUAUCUGCCCCGCGCCUCCACACUCAUCGGACUGCAGACAUCGGUAUGUAUGAUUUCCAACAAGUCACUUGCACGCUCCAUUGUUCCGGAGAACGGAGUCUUAGUCAUCUUGCCCAUGAGGCAUGGUUCGCACGUGUCAAGUGAAUCAAAGUCAAGUGACUCCAAAAGUCCAUCGAAAUGGAGUUUCUUCAUGCACUUUACACCAAUAUGACCUAAGCGGCAGUGCCACAAAAACAUUGCGCUAUCAUUGUUAGCUCUAACUCUUUUGGUCUCAAUGUUAUGUAUAUGUGUAUCAUCGCUAUCAAGAUUCAGUAUGAACAAUCCUCUCACAUUGGGUGCAUGACCAUAAAAGAUAUUACUCAUAGAAAUAGAACAACCAUUAUUAUCUGACUUAAAUGAGUAACCGUCUCACAAUAAACAAGAUCCAGAUAUAAUGUUCAUGCUUAACGCAGGCACUAAAUAACAAUUAUUUAAGUUCAUAACUAGUCCUGAUGGUAACUGAAGUGAAACUGUGCCGACGGUGAUUGCAUCAACUUUGGAACCAUUUCCCACGCGCAUCGUCACUUCAUCUUUCGCCAGCCUUCGUUUAUUACGUAGUUCCUGCUUCGAGUUGCAAAUAUGAGCAACAGAACCGGUAUCGAAUACCCAGGCACUACUACGAGAGUUGGUUAAGUACACAUCAAUAACAUGUAUAUCGAAUACACGUGAUUUUCCCUUGGUCGCCUUCUUAUCAGCCAAAUACUUGGGGCAGUUGCGCUUCCAGUGACCCAGUCCCUUGCAAUAAUAACACUCUAUUUCAGGCUUAGGUCCAACCUUGGGUUUCUUUGUCGGAUUGGCAACAGGCUUGCCGCUCUUCUUGGAGUUACCCUUCUUGCCUUUUCCAUUUCUCCUGAAACUAGUGGUCUUAUUGACCAUCAACACUUGAUGCUCUUCCCGGAGUUCUGACUCUGCGACUUUCAGCAUCGCGAAUAACUCGCCGGGUGACUUAUUCAUCCCUUGCAUGUUAUAGUUCAACACAAAGCUCUUAUAGCUUGGUGGCAGUGAUUGAAGAAUUCUGUGAGUGAUAUCUUCUUGCGGGAGUUCAAUCCCCAGCUUAGCUAGACGGUUUGAGUACCUAGACAUUUUGAGCACAUGUUCACUGGCAAACGAAUUCUCCUCCAUCUUGCAAGCAUAGAAUUUAUCGGAGGUCUCAUACCUCUCGAUCCGGGCGUUCUUCUGAAAGAUAAACUUCAACUCCUGGAACAUCUCAUAUGCUCCAUGGCGCUCAAAGCAACGUUGAAGUCCCGGCUCUAAGCCAUACAAGACUGCACAUUGAACUACUGAGUAGUCCUCCUUACGUGUUAACCAAGCGUUCUUAACAUCUUGGUCAGCCAUAGCGGGUGGUUCAUCUCCUAGCGCAGCAUUAAGGACAUAAUCCUUCUUCCUAGCUUGCAGGAGCAACUUAAGAUCACGAGCCCAGUCUACAAAGUUGCUUCCAUCAUCUUUCAACCUAGCUUUCUCUAGGAACGUAUUAAAAUUCAGGGUGACUAUCGCGUGAGCCAUUGAUCUACAACACAAAUAUUUCAAAGUGGACUUAGACUAUUUUCAAGAUAAUUAGAGUUUAACUAAUCAAAUUACUUGCUAAACUCCCACUCAAAAAGUACAUCUCUCUAGUCAUUUGAGUGGUACAUGAUCCAAAGUCACUAACUCAAGUCCGAUCAUCACGUGAGUUGAGAAUAGUUUAAGUGGUAAGCAUCGCUAUGCUAAUCAUAUCAACUAUACGAUUCAUGCUCGACCUUUCGGUCUCAUGUGUUCUGAGUCCAUGUGUACACAUGCUAGGCUCGUCAAGUUUAACCUGAGUGUUCCACGCGUGCAACUGUUUUGCACCCGUUGUAUGUGAACGUUGAGUCUAUCACACCCGAUCAUCACGUGGUGUCUCAAAAUGACAAACUGUUGCAACAGUGCAUAGUCAGGGAGAACACAAUUUCGUUUUGCAAUUUUAGUGAGAGAUCACCUUAUAAUGCUACGGUCGUUCUAAGCAAAAUAAGGUGCAUAAAAGGAUUAACAUCACAUGCAAUUCAUAAGUGACAUGAUAUGGCCAUCAUCUUGUGCUUCUUGAUCUCCAUCACUCAAGCACCGACACGAUCUUCUUGUCACCGGCGCCACACCAUGAUCUCCAUCAUCAUGAUAUCCAUCAAUGUGUCACCAUCGAGGUUGUCGUGCUAUCUAUGGUAUUACUACUAAAGCUACGACCUAGCAAUAUAGUAAACGCAUCUGCAAACACAAACGUUAGUUUAAAGACAACCCUAUGGCUCCUGCCGGUUGCCGUAGCAUCGACGUGAAAGUCGAUAUUAACUAUUACAACAUGGUCAUCUUAUACAUCCAAUAUAUCACAUCACGUCAUUCGCCAUAUCAUAUCACAAGCAUACCCUGCAAAAACAAGUUAGACCUCCUCUAAUUUGUUGUUGCAUGUUUUACGUGGCUACUAUGGGUAUCUAGUAUGAUCGCAUCUUACUUAUGCAAAAACCACAACGGAGAUGUGCAAAUUGCUAUUUAACCUCUCCAAGGACCGCCUCGGUCAAAACCAAUUCAACUAAAGUCGAAGAAACCGACACCCGCCAGUCAUCUUUAUGCAACGAGGUUGCAUGUCAACCGAUGAAACCAGUCUCUCGUAAGCGUACGAGUUAUGUUGGUUCGGGCCGCUUCAAUCCAACAAUACCGCUGAAUCGAGAAAAGACUAAGGAGGGAAGAAAAUCGAACAUCACCAUCCACAAAACCUUUUGUGUUCUACUCGAGAUAACAUCGACGCAUGAACCUAGCUCAUGAUGCCACUGUUGGGGAACGUUGCAUGGGAAACAAAAAAUUUCCUACGCACAUGAAGACCUAUCAUGGUGAUGCCCAUCUACGAGUGGAGAUUGGAUCUAUGUACCCUUGUAGAUCGCACAGCAGGAAGCGUUAAGAAACGCGGUUGAUGUAGUGGAACGUCUUCACGUCCCUCGAACCGUCCCACGAACCGUCCCACGAUCCGUUCCGAUCUAGCGCCGAAUGGACGGCACCUCCGCGUUCAGCACACGUGCAGCUCGACGAUGAUCUCGGCCUUCUUGAUCCAGCAAGCAAGACAGAUAAGUAGAUGAGUUCUCUGGAAACGUGACGACGCUUCAGUGGUGGUGAUGAUCUACUCCUGCAGGGCUCCGCCCGAGCUUCGCAGAAAUCUGAUCUAGAUGUGAAACUGUGUGGUAUAGGCUAGAGUUGCACGUGGCAAAGUUGUGUCUCAAAAAGCCCUAAACCACCACUAUAUAUAGGAGGGAGGGGGAGGGGCUAGCCUUGAGGCACAAGGCCUCAAGGGUGCGCUGGCCACCAAGGAGGAGGAGGAGGACUCCUCCAAUUCGGUUUGGGAAGGAGGAGUCCUCCUCUCCCUUCCCACCUCCCUCUUUCCUUUUUCUUUUUCUUUUCUUUUUGGUAUUUUCUUAUGUGGCACCAUGGACUCCUUGGGCUAACUCCACCAGCCAACUAAGUACUUGUGGCGCCACUCUAGGGUCUUGGGCUCAAUGCCGGGUGGGUGGGCCCCUUCUGGUGAAUACCCGGAACCCAUUCGUCACUCCCGGUACACUGUCGGAAUUGCCCGAAACUUUCCGGUGACCAAAUGAAACCAUCCUAUACAUCAAUCUUCGUUUCUGUACCUUUAUGGAAACCAUAGUGACGUCCGUGAUCUCAUCCGGGACUCCGAACAAUAUUCGGUAACCAGACAUAUAACUCAACUAUACUAAAACUUCAUCGAACCUUAAGUGUGCAGAUCCUGCGGGUUCGAGAACUAUGUAGACAUGCCCCGAGGCACUCCUCGGUCAAUAUCCAAUAGCGGGACCUGGAUGCUGAUGACCAACAAGUAUAGGGGAUCAAUCGUAGUCCUUUCGAUAAGUAAGAGUGUCGAACCCAACGAGGAGCCGAAGGCUCUGAUAAACGGAUUUCAGCAAGGUUAUAACUGCAAGCACUGAAAAUAGCGGUAACAAGUGAUAGUGUAGCGAGGUGAAACGUAGCGAGCAAAAAGUAACAAGUAACAAGUAGUAGCAAUGGUGAAGCAAGUGGCCCAAUCCCUUUUGCAGCAAGGGACAAGCCUGAACAAAGUAUUAUAGGAGGAAAAAUGCUCCCGAGGACACACGGGAAUUUCUGUCAUGCUAGUUUCAUCAUGUUCAUAUGAUUCGCGUUCGUUACUUUGAUAGUUUGAUAUGUGGGUGGACCGGCGCUUGGGUACUUCCCUUACUUGGACAAGCAUCCCACUUAUGAUUAACCUCUCUCGCAAGCAUCCGCAACUACAAAAGAAUAAUUAAGACAAAGUCUAACCAUAGCAUUAAACUAGUGGAUCCAAAUCAGCCCCUCACGAAGCAACGCAUAGACUGGGGUUUAAGCUUCUGUCACUCCAGCAACCCAUCAUCUACUUACUACUUCCCAAUGCCUUCCUCUAGGCCCAAAUAUGGUGAAGUGUUAUGUAGUCGACGUUCACAUAACAGCACUAGAGGAAAAGACAACAUACAUCAUAUCAAAAUACCGAACAAAUAUCAAAUUCACAUGACUAUUAUCAGCAUGACUUAUCCCAUGUCCUCAGGAACAAAAGUAACUACUCACAAGACAUAAUCAUAAUCAUGACCUGAGGUGUAAUGAAUAGCAUCAAGGAUCUGAACAUAAACUGUUCCACCAAAUAAUCCAACUAGCAUCAACUACAAAGAGUAAUCAACACUACUAGCAACCAUACAAGUACCAAUCGGAGUUGCGAGACGGAGAUUGGUUACAAGAGAUGAACUAGGGAUUGGAGAGGAGAUGGUGCUGAUGAAGAUGUUGAUGAAGAUGCCUCCCCUCCGACAAGAGGUGUGUUGGUGAUGACGAUGGCGAUGAUUUCCCCCUCCGGGAGGGAAGUUUCCCCGGCAGGAUCGUCCUGCCGGAGCUCUAGAUUGGAUCUGCUCAAGUUCCGCCUCAAGGCGGCGGCGAAACCACGAGAAAGCUCCAUCCUGAUUUUUUCCAGACUAGGACGCUUCAUAUAGCAAAAGAGGGGGGCUAGUGGGCCUUCAGGCGGCCCACAAGCUUGCCCACCGCCACCAGGGUGGUGGUGGCGGAGUGGGGGCUUGUGGGGCCCUGGUGGCCCCCCUCCGGUAGUUCUUUCGCCCAGUAUUUUUAAUAUUUUCCAGAAAAAAUCCAUGUAAAUUUUCAGGGCAUUUGGAGAUGUGCAGAAUAGUAGACUAGGAUUUGCUCCUCUUCUAGUCCAGAAUUCCAGCUGCCUGAAUUCCCCCUCUUCAAAUAAUCCUUGCAAAAUAAGAGAGAAAAGGCAUAAAUAUGGUACCACAAGUAAUAUAACAGCCCAAAAAGCAAUAAAUAUCAACAUGAAAGCAUGAUGCAAAAUGAACGUAUCAACUCCCCCAAGCUUAGACCUCGCCUGUCCUCAAGCGAAAACAAAGUUCCAUAAACAUGUCCACAUGUUGAGGGACGAAGGUGUCGAUAAAAGAUAAUACGAACCUGAGGGCAUCAUGAUCACACAUAGAAUAGCAAUACAUCAUAAAGAUUCUUAUGGGAAAGUAACAAUUCCUUCACAAAGCAAAGCAUGAAGCAAAAACCUUACCAAGAAGUAACCAACAAUAGUCAUAGUCAUUGAAGCAAUUGCAAUUUAUCACAACAUCGGAAAGAGUCAAAUAAGAGCUUGUAAGGCAAACCCACAUACUCAAUCAUCUCUUUUGUUUUCCACAAUUGUUACAACUCACGUGGUACUCAUGGUGUCAAAGUUUCAGCUGGACACUGAGGAAGAUAGGGGCUUAUAGUUUUGCCUCCCAACGCUUUACCUCAAGGGUAAAGUCAACAACAAUAAAGCAUGAAUACUCAACUCCAAGUUGAUAUAUGAAUAUAGAUCUUUCCCAAGCAAUGUGACGGUAGCCAAGACAAAGGCAAAAAAGGGAAUUGGUGAUGAUCACCAUGACUCUUUCAAGGGUAAAAAGUAAAGGUACAAGAUAGGCCCUUUGCAGAGGGAAGCAGAGGUUGUCAUGCGCUUUUGAGGUUUGAAUGCAUGUCCUCUUAGUGCGGAGGAACAUCACUUUAUAUUGUCUCCUGUGACAAAGAACUUUAUUAUGCAGCCUGUCGCUUUUAUGUCUUCCUCAUCACAGGUUCGUACAAAGCUUAUUUUCCACACACUAAUAGAUCAUACAUAUUAGAGAGCAAUUUUUAUUGCUUGCACCUAUGACAACUUACUUGAAGGAUCUUAUUCAAUCCAUAGGUAGGUAUAGUGGACUCUCAUGGCAAAACUGGUUGGAGGUUUAUGGAUGAACAAGUAGUAUCUCUACUUGGUGCGGGAGUUUUGGCUAAUAUGAUGCGGAAGCAAUCGUCACAUGCUAAGGGAUCUCUAAUCAUAUAACAUUGUUUGGAAGCAAGCAAACACAAUUCAUUAUGUUGUCUUCCUUGUCCAACAUCUACUCCUAGGCAUGUAAUAGUUUGGUGAGUGCUCACAAUUGUAAAAAGUGUCUAAGAUGAUAUAUUUAUAUGUGAACCUCUCGUUCCUUAGUACUUCUUAUUAAUUGCAAGAAUGACUGAGGUCUAUAUUGAUUUAUUCUCAACAAGUUUCAAUCAUCAUACUUGUCAUAAGUGAAGUUAUCACUUUCCAUAAGAUCGUCUCAUGAUCUUUCAUGCUAUCGAUCUUUUCAUACUUUUGAUCAUGGCACAAAGCAAAGCCCUUGACUAAUACAUUCUUUAUUAUACAACUCGUAAGCUCGAAUACAAUGGGGGAAAGACAAAAGCAAAAGACUCAAACUAAAAACUAAAGACUUAUUCCUCUAAAAGAAGAAAUAAAAACUUAAAAGGAAAGAACUAAAACAAAGGUAAAAGCAAAAGAUAUAAAGGUGAUACGAUACCAGGGCAACUCCCCCAAGCUUGGCAGAAGCCAAGGGGAUUGCCCAUACCAAUGCUUAGUUGUCUUCCUUUGGUGGUGAUGGUGAUGUUGUUGUCGCCUUUGAUUCCAAGAGAGCUAUCAAUCUUUGAUUUAUACCUUUGAGAUAUGUGACAUGGUUUUCCAGCAAAACAACUUUAUGAGAAAGAGAAAUAUUGCGAGAACGAGUUGUUUCACAAAACCUCAAGAGUUCAAUCAAGGAUGGAGACAACACGUGGAGGAAGGGUUGGAGAAAAUCUACUCCUUCAAUGUCUUGAAUGUUGAACAUAGGUUGAACUUCCUCCCUAACUCGGGUUUUCUCCUUAGCUUGGUCCCUGGCUUCCGUGACUUCUACUCUUUUCAGAUCAGCAUCUACUUCCUCAUUAACUUGGUGAAGAUCAUUCUCCCCAACAGAUUCCUGAGACAUCUUUGCUCUAAAUCUGCGGCAGACAACAAGCUCGAAACAAAAACAGAGGAAAACUACGCGAUACGGAGAUCAAAACCUUCGGGCAACUAUAUAUUGAUUUUUUCUGGGUCAGAAGGAGUCCUCCGCAAGAAAACGGAGUCCAGGAGGCACACGAGGUGCCCUCAAGCUUGCCCACUGCCACCAGGGGGGUGGUGCGGUGUGGGCCCUUGUGGCUGCCUCGUUUGCUCUCCCAACUGCUUUUUAUUUUUCUAAUUUUCCAAAAAUUCCAAAACUGAGGAAAUUUCCUAUUGGAAAAGUAUCGGAGUCUAAUUUCUUGCCGAAACAGAUACAUCUUCGUUUUCAAGGUCUGAAACAGGGUGAUAAACAUCCCUUACAUACUCCUCUGGAGUUAUGACAUUGAUGAUAUUGGUCUCAACAUUUAUGGGAGUACCAGAGAUGUAAUGCUUGAUUCUUUGCCCAUUUACCACUCUAGGAAAAUUUCCUUCCGUGUUAUUGAUUUUUAUGGCACCGGAACGAUAUACUUCCUCGACAACAUAGGGACCUUCCCAUUUAGAGAGAAGCUUGCCUCCAAAGAAUCUCAAACGAGAAUUGUAUAGCAAGACAUAAUCACCUACAUUGAACUCUCGUUUCUGUAUUCGUUUGUCGUGCCAUCUCUUAACGUUUUCCUUGAACAACCUGGCAUUCUCAUAUGCCUGGGCUCUCCAUUCAUCUAACGAGUUGAUAUCAAACAACCCCUUCUCACCGGCAAGUUUGAAAUCAAAGUUGAGCUCUUUGAUUGCCCAAUAAGCUUUGUGUUCUAGCUCAAGAGGUAAAUGACAGGCCUUACCGUAAACCAUUUUAUACGGUGACAUGCCCAUGGGAUUCUUAUAAGCAGUCCUAUAAGCCCAUAGUGCAUCAUCAAGUUUGCUUGACCAGUUAUUUCGAGAUCUAUUGGCGGUCUUUUGUAGGAUCAAAUUGAUCUCCCUAUUACUCAACUCCACUUGACCACUAGACUGAGGAUGAUAAGGAGAUGCAACUCUAUGGUUGACAUCAUACUUAGCUAGCAUCUUGCGGAAAACACCAUGAAUGAAGUGUGAACCGCCAUCAGUCAUCAAGUAUCUAGGGACUCCAAAUCUAGGGAAUAUGACUUAUUUAAGCAUCUUAAUAGAGGUGUGGUGAUCAGCACUUUUAGUGGGGAUAGCUUCUACCCACUUAGUAACGUAAUCCACAGCAACUAAGAUGUGAGUGUACCCAUUGGAACUCGGGAAGGGUCCCAUAUAAUCAAAGCCCCAGAUAUCAAAUGGUUCAAUGGCAAGUGAAUAGUUCAUAUGCAUCUCUUGACGCUUACUGAUGUUCCCUAUCCUUUGGCAUUCUUCACAAGACAAGACAAACUUACAGGCAUCCUUGAAGAGAGUGGGCCAAUAGAAACCUGAUUGCAAUACCUUAUGGGCAGUUCUAUCUCUAGCAUGGUGUCCUCCGUAAGCUUCGGAAUGACACUUCUGCAGGAUCUGUCCCUGUUCAUGUUCAGGCACACAACGUCUAAUAACACUAUCUACUCCUUCCUUAUAAAGGUGAGGAUCAUCCCAAAAGUAGUGUCUCAAAUCAAAGAAGAAUUUCUUCUUUUGUUGAUAGGUGAAACUGGGUGGUAUGUAUUUGGCUACGAUGUAGUUUGCAUAAUCGGCAUACCACGGUGCACUAAGUGAAGUGCGGAUGACAUUUAAUUGCUCAUCAGGAAAGCUGUCAUCAAUUGGUAGUGGGUCAUCAAGGACAUUCUCUAGCCUAGACAAGUUAUCUGCUACAGGGUUAUCAGCACCCUUUCGGUCAACGAUGUGCAAAUCAAAUUCCUGUAGCAGGAGAACCCAUCUGAUCAGCCUAGGCUUAGCGUCCUUCUUCUGCAUAAGGUACUUAAUAGCAGCAUGAUCAGAGUGAAUAGUGACUUUGGAGUCAACUAUGUAAGAUCUGAUCUUUUCACAUGCAAACACGACUGCUAAAAAUUCCUUCUCCGUAGUGGCAUAGUUUCUUUGGGCACUGUCUAGAGUUUUACUAGCGUAGUGAAUGACAUUCAAUUUCUUGUCAACUCUUUGUCCUAGAACAGCAUCAACAACAUAAUCACUAGUGUCGCACAUGAUUUCAAAGGGCAAGUUCCAGUCAGGUGGUUGAACAAUAGGUGCGGUUAUCAAAGCCUUCUUAAGUAUUUCAAAGGCUUCCUCACAAUCCUCAUCAAAAACAAAAGGAACAUCCUUCUGCAAGAGGUUGGUAAGAGGCCUAGAAAUCUUAAAGAAGUCUUUAAUGAACCUUCUAUAGAAACCAACAUGACCUAGGAAACUUCGUAUACCUCUAAUAUCUGUGGGGCAAGGCAUUUUCUCAAUUGCAUCGACCUUAGCCUUAUCAACUUCAAUGCCUCUCUCAGAAAUUUUGUGUCCUAAGACGAUACCUUCAUUAACCAUAAAGUGGCACUUCUCCCAAUUCAAGACGAGGUUGGUUUCUUCACAUCUCUGUAAGACUCGAUCAAGGUUGCUGAGACAAUCAUCAAAGGAAGACCCGUAAACGGAGAAGUCAUCCAUGAAAACCUCAACAAUCUUUUCACAAAAGUCAGAGAAUAUAGCCAUCAUACAUCUUUGGAAGGUGGCAGGUGCAUUACAUAAGCCAAAAGGCAUACAUCUAUAGGCGAAGGUACCGAAAGGGCAGGUGAAAGUGGUUUUCUCUUGAUCGGAUUGUGCAACAGGUAUUUGCGAGAAACCUGAAUAACCGUCUAGAAAAGCAGAAGUGUGUGUGCUUUGAUAGCCUUUCUAGCAUUUGGUCGAUGAAUGGCAAAGGAUAAUGAUCUUUGCCUUGUUCAGUUUUCGGAAGUCUAUCACCAUUCUAUAGCCGGUAAUAAUCCUUUGUGGUAUUAGUUCAUCCUUAUCAUUAGGAACGACGGUGAUACCUCCCUUCUUAGGUACACAAUGUACUGGACUUACCCAAUCACUAUGAGCAACAGGAUAAAUGAUUCCUGCUUCCAGAAGCUUUAAUAUUUCUUUUCUAAUGACCUCUUUCAUCUUAGGAUUUAAUCUCCUUUGAUGAUCAGCAACUGGUUUAAAGUCAGGAUUGGCUUUAAUCUUGUGCUGACAUAGAGUAGGACUAAUACCCUUAAGAUCAUCAAGAGUAUAUCCAAUAGCAGCGCGGUGCUUCCUCAGGGUUUUUAGUAACUUCUUCUCUUCGCGCUCUGAGAGGAGAGCACUAAUAAUGACAGGAUAUAUCUCCGUCUCAUCAAGAUAGGCAUACUUAAGAGUAUCAGGCAACUGUUUAAGCUCGAACAUAUGAUCACCCUUUGGUGGGGAGGAUCCCCAAGCAGUUCAACAGGCAGAUUAUUUUUGAGAAUAGGAUGUUGUUCUAAGACAAUUCUAUCUAUCUCAUCUCUCUCCUCCAUAUGCAUAUCAUUUUCAGGCUCAAGCAGAUAUUACUCCAAAGGAUCCGUAGGAGGUACGACAAUAGAGGCAAGAGCAAUGAUUUCAUCUCUACCAGACGACUCUCUUUCAUGGGGUUGUCUUCCAAACUUGGAGAAGUUAAAUUCAUGAGACACACCCUUGAAACUUACUGUGACAGUCUGCUUAAUGCAAUGAAUGUGAGCAUUGACAGUGUUGAGAAAGGGUCUAACGAAUAUGAUGGGACAAAAGCUAUCUUGUGCAGUACCAAGGACGAGGAAAUCAGUAGGAUACUUCGUCUUACCACACAGGACUUCUACGUCUCUCACAAUUCCCAGAGGGCAGAUAAUGUCUCUAUCAGCUAGCGUAACAGUGACAACAAUGGGUUCUAACUCAGCAGGUGCAAUCUCAUCUUUGAUUUCAUCAUAUAGAGAACGGGGUAUUGCACUAACACUAGCUCCCAUAUCACAUAAACCAUGGUAACAGUGAUCUCCUAUCUUAGCAGAAACAACGGGCAGGCCAACUACAGGUCCGUGCUUGUCUUUCGCGUGAGGUUUAGCAAUUCUAGCGGAGUCCUCACAGAAUUUGAUAACAUGCCCGUCUAUGUCUUCAGCUAAGAGAUCUUUGAUAAUAGCAACACUAGGUUGAACUCUAAUCUCCUCAGGGGGUGCAAGUGGUCUAAUGUAACCCCUAUGUAUCACAGUUGGAGCUUUAGAAUAAUCCUUCAUCCUAGCAGGGUAUGGUGGUUUCUCAGUGUAAGCACAAGGAACAACAGGAUCACUAAAACCUAUGAUUUUCUCCUCAACUAGAUUGGUUUUGGCUAUGUUGCUUUCUACAGGAGGAUGAUAUUUAAACCACUUCUCUUUCGGAAGAUCAACAUGAGCAGCAAAAGAUUCACAUAGAGAAGCUACUAUCUCAGAGUCAAGUCCAUACUUAGCGCUAAAAUCUCUAGAAGUGUUUCCCUCACCAAAAUAUUUAAUGCAAUCAAACUGGAAAUUCAUACCUGACUCCUUACCUUCCUCCAGCUCCCAAUCUUCAGAGUUGCGUUUGAUUCUCUCCAAUAAAUUCCACUUGUGAUCAAUAUCCUUCUUCAUAAAAGAACAGGCACAAGAAGGGUCAAGUAUGGUACGAUCUUCAUGAGAAAGCCGAGCAUAAAAAUUUUGAGUGAUGAUUUCUCUCGAGAGCUCAUGAUUGGGGCAUGAAUAUAGCAUUGAUUUAAGCCUCCCCCAAGCUUGAGCUAUGCUUUCCCUGUCACGAGGCCAAAAGUUAUAAAUAAAGUUCCGAUCACGAUGUACUAAAUGCAUAGGAUAGAACUUUUGAUGAAAUUCCAAUUUCAACCGAUUGUAGCCCCAUGAUCUAGCAUCAUCACAUAGCCUAUACCAUGUCAACGCCUUAUCCUUCAAAGAUAAAGGAAAGACUUUCUUCUUUACCUCAUCCUCGGGCAAACCUGCAAGCUUAAAUAAACCACAAACUUCAUCUACAUAGAUUAGAUGAAAGUCUGGAUGUGAAGAUCCAUCUCGUGUAAAAGGAUUAGCGAGCAGUUUCUCAAGCAUUCCCAAAGGAAUUUCAUAAAAGAUAUUUUCAGUAGGUACCUCAGGUUGAGGAGCAACUCCUCGUGCUUCCGUUCGUGGUGAAGAUACCCCGAACAAACUCCUCAAAGGAAGAGUUUCCAUAGUGACAAGUGACAAUAAAUUUCAGCAUAGUAUAUACAUGUUUCCUUACCAAUUUCCACUUACCAAAGACGCUUCACUCCCCGGCAACGGCGCCAGAAAAGAGUCUUGAUGACCCACAAGUAUAGGGGAUCAAUCGUAGUCCUUUCGAUAAGUAAGAGUGGCGAACCCAACGAGGAGCAGAAGGCUCUGAUAAACGGAUUUCAGCAAGGUUAUAACUGCAAGCACUGAAAGUAGCGGUAACAAGUGAUUGUGUAGCGAGAUGAAACAUAGCGAGCAAAAAGUAACAAGUAACAAGCAGUAGAAAUGGUGCAGCAAGUGGUCCAAUCCCUUUUGCAGCAAGGGACAAGCCUGAACAAAGUCUUAUAGGAGGAAAAACGCUCCCGAGAACACACGGGAAUUUCUGUCAUGCUAGUUUCAUCAUGUUCAUAUGAUUCACGUUCGUUACUUUGAUAGUUUGAUAUGUGGGUGGACCGACGCUUGGGUACUGCCCUUACUUGGACAAGCAUCCCACUUAUGAUUAACCUCUCUCGCAAGCAUCCGCAACUACAAAAGAAUCAUGAUCACACAUAGAAUAGCAAUACAUCAUAAAGAUUCUUAUGGGAAAGUAACAAUUCCUUCACAAAGCAAAGCAUGAAGCAAAAACCUUACCGAGAAGUAACCAACAAUAGUCAUAGUCAUUGAAGCAAUUGCAAUUUAUCACAACAUCGGAAAGAGUCAAAUAAGAGCUUGUAAGGCAAACCCACAUACUCAAUCAUCUCUUUUGUUUUCCACAAUUGUUACAACUCCGACGAGAGAUUGGUUACAAGAGAUGAACUAGGGAUUGGAGAGGAGAUGGUGCUGAUGAAGAUGUUGAUGAAGAUGCCUCCCCUCCGACAAGAGGUGUGUUGGUGAUGACGAUGGCGAUGAUUUCCCCCUCCGGGAGGGAAGUUUCCCCGGCAGGAUCGUCCUGCCGGAGCUCUAGAUUGGAUCUGCUCAAGUUCCGCCUCAAGGCGGCGGCGAAACCACGAGAAAGCUCCAUCCUGAUUUUUUCCAGACUAGGACGCUUCAUAUAGCAAAAGAGGGGGGCUAGUGGGCCUUCAGGCAGCCCACAAGCUUGCCCACCGCCACCAGGGUGGUGGUGGCGGAGUGGGGGCUUGUGGGGCCCUGGUGGCCCCCCUCCGGUAGUUCUUUCGCCCAGUAUUUUUAAUAUUUUCCAGAAAAAAUCCAUGUAAAUUUUCAGGGCAUUUGGAGAUGUGCAGAAUAGUAGACUAGGAUUUGCUCCUCUUCUAGUCCAGAAUUCCAGCUGCCUGAAUUCCCCCUCUUCAAAUAAUCCUUGCAAAAUAAGAGAGAAAAGGCAUAAAUAUGGUACCACAAGUAAUAUAACAGCCCAAAAAGCAAUAAAUAUCAACAUGAAAGCAUGAUGCAAAAUGAACGUAUCAACUCCCCCAAGCUUAGACCUCGCGUGUCCUCAAGCGAAAACAAAGUUCCAUAAACAUGUCCACAUGUUGAGGGACGAAGGUGUCGAUAAAAGAUAAUACGAACCUGAGGGCAUCAUGAUCACACAUAGAAUAGCAAUACAUCAUAAAGAUUCUUAUGGGAAAGUAACAAUUCCUUCACAAAGCAAAGCAUGAAGCAAAAACCUUACCGAGAAGUAACCAACAAUAGUCAUAGUCAUUGAAGCAAUUGCAAUUUAUCACAACAUCGGAAAGAGUCAAAUAAGAGCUUGUAAGGCAAACCCACAUACUCAAUCAUCUCUUUUGUUUUCCACAAUUGUUACAACUCCGACGAGAGAUUGGUUACAAGAGAUGAACUAGGGAUUGGAGAGGAGAUGGUGUUGAUGAAGAUGUUGAUGAAGAUGCCUCCCCUCCGACGAGAGGUGUGUUGGUGAUGACGAUGGCGAUGAUUUCCCCCUCCGGGAGGGAAGUUUCCCCGGCAGGAACGUCCUGCCGGAGCUCUAGAUUGGAUCUGCUCAAGUUCCGCCCCGUGGCAGCGGCGAAACCACGAAAAAGCUCCCUCCUGAUUUUUUCCAGACCAGGACGCUUCAUAUAGCAAAAGAGGGGGCUAGUGGGCCUUCAGGCAGCACACAAGCUUGCCCACCACCACCAGGGGGGUGGCGGAGUGGGGGCUUGUGGGGCCUUGGUGGCCCCCCUCCGGUAGUUCUUUCGCCCAGUAUUUUUAAUAUAUUCCAGAAAAAAUCCACGUAAAUUUUAAGGGCAUUUGGAGAUGUGCAGAAUAGUAGACUAGGAUUUGCUCCUCUUCUAGUCCAGAAUUCCAGCUGCCUGAAUUCCCCCUCUUCAAAUAAUCCUUGCAAAAUAAGAGAGAAAAGGCAUAAAUAUGGUACCACAAGUAAUAUAACAGCCCAAAAAGCAAUAAAUAUCAACAUGAAAGCAUGAUGCAAAACGGACGUAUGAGAUGCCCAUAUUGGAUCCUACAUAUUCUCCGAAGAUCUUAUCGGUUGAACCUCAGUGUCAAGGAUUCAUAUAAUCCCUUUGUCAUUCCCUUUGUCAUUCGGUAUGUUACUUGCCUGAGAUUCGAUCGUCCGUAUCCGCAUACCUAUUUCAAUCUCGUUACGGGCAAGUCUCUUUACUCGUUCCGUAAUACAAGAUCCCGUGACUUACACUUAGUCACAUUGCUUGCAAGGCUUGUGUGUGAUGUUGUAUUACCGAGUGGGCCCCGAGAUACCUCUCCGUCACACGGAGUGACAAAUCCCAGUCUUGAUCCAUACUAACUCAACAGACACCUUUGGAGAUACCUGUAUAGCACCUUUAUAGUCACCUAGUUACGUUGGGACGUUUGAUGCACACAAGGUAUUCCUCUGGUGCCAGUGAGUUAUAUGAUCUCAUGGUCAUAGGAACAAAUACUUGACACACAGAAAACAAUAGCAAUAAAACGACACGAUCAAUAUGCUACGUUCAUAGUUUGGGUCUAGUCCAUCACAUGAUUCUCCUAAUGAUGUGAUCCAGUUAUCAAGUGACAACACUUGCAUAUAGUCAGAAAACCUUGACUAUCAUUGAUCAACUGGCUAGCCAACCAGAGGCUUGCUAGGGACAUUGUUUUGUCUAUGUAUCCACACAUGUAUCUAUGUUUUCAUUCAAUACAAUUAUAGCAUGGAUAAUAAACGAUUAUCUUUAAACAUGAAAUAUAAUAAUAACUAUUUAUCAUUGCCUUUAGGGCAUAUUUCCAACAGACUUCAACAUCUUCUUCUGUUUUUUCUAAUGCAUGGUAUGGAUUAUCAACCUUGUAAACCGGUGGUGAUGGAUUGCAAGAUUGUACUACAUGCAGUGAUGCUCCAAUUUUGCUGUUUGCGGUGAUUUCUAGAUCUGUCUCAAGUGGUUAGUCACCUUCUAUAAGUUUCGGACCGUCCUUCCAGGCAUCACCGUGACACUGCGGGACGUCCCAGAACACUUCCAUGAUCAUCUCAAAUACUCUCGAAACCCUUAUCUCUCGUUUUCUUUAUCUCAUAGUAGUUCUACAUACCGCUAGUUGUUAAGUGUGUGACCCUAUAGAUUCGAUAGUAUGUGGGUAUAUUCGGAACACCUUCGAGUCAAUAAUUAUUAGCGAGGCCUGGACACCAUGAUAAUUCCAGCACAACAAUGAAGAUCAUUAUUGAGUGAAUCUUUUGUUAUCACAUACAAUUCCUUUUGCCUCGAGGUAUGUUACAAAAUCUGAGCGGGACUUUUACUGUAUCUUCGUGAUUAACACCUUGACAACCACACCAAGUAAUCCUUGCUACCAGUUCAUACUCUUUUCUCAUUUUCGUUUUUCAGUAUCCCCAUGACUAAUGCUUGCUUGUCACAGGGCAAGAUGUUGGGUUGCCAAGUGGAGUAGUUUGUACUCACUCCGUCCCAUAAUAUAAGAGCAUUUUUGAUACUAGUGUAGUGUCAAAAACGUUUUUUCUUAUGAAACGGAGGGAGUAGUACACAAGUUUUUCUCCGUUUUAGAAACCAAGUCUUCAAUCUGCGAAAAUAUGUUUUUCUCCAAUAGUAUAACAUUCUACAAUAUAAAUAAAACGUUACUUGUGUCUCCAACAGAGCUAAGAAGGGUGUCAACAUUGCUAGUCUAUCUAGUUGCACAAAGUAACUAAAAGAUGAUGUGGUGAAUAAUAUUUUUAUAUUUUAAAAAUAGAAAUUGUAAGUAAAAUUUAGUGAAGGUGAUUCUUAUGCUAAAUACUGGACCGGAGUUAAGAGGUUUCCAAGUGCAUCACUCCAAUAGAUAAAGUGUGGUAAGUUACAUGAUCACUGAAGAAGUGCACAAUAAAACAUUCAUAUUAAAAUAUGUUGUCAUUGCUUGAUUGCACCAACGAAAGAUGAUUCUCACCAAACAUGUUAAUUAUUCCUCGUCACACGGGCGGACCUAUGUUGAUGGCUGUGGGGGCAGCUGCCCCCACUUGAUUUUCUGGUCGACUCAUAGUUGUUCAAUGGGCUACGUAAUAUGCCCCCAUUAAUCCAAAUGUCGUUCCCCCACUCACUCAAAUUUGUUUGCGAAUUUUUAAAAGACCAACUCUAGAGAAGCAGCUUUAUUAUAAAUCAAUAAUGCAUGCAUACGCGUUGUUGUCUCAUGGACUGUAGUCUACGGCCCUAUGCAUUACACACGUCGCCUAAUUCAAUCGCCAAAUUACCCUAAAAAACUCAACUAUAAAUCAAUAAUGCAUGCAUACGAUGUUGUUGUCUCAUGGACUGUAGCCUACGUUGUGACAGCCCGAGACCGACGCUUCACAAGAUUCCCCUCUUAUUCCAUUGGCGUCGUGCGAUUAGAUUGUGUGUCGCAUUCAUCAUGCAUCAUUCGCAUCAUCCGCAUUGCAUCGGCACUCCGUUGCCGCCAGUUUUUAAACUUGCAUCCGUUAUUAGUUGUCGGUUCUCUCCGUUUUCGUUGUUGUCCGUUUUGAGUCCAACCGCACACGCACGCGCCCGCGACAUUGUUAAAAUAUUGUUUAAAAGUGUGUUUAAAAUAUUUUCGGAUUGGGUUGAAACUUGGCGUGCGGUCUUGUUUUAUUGUAGGUAGACCGCCUUUCAAUUUUUGUUGCAAUCAGAAUUCGUUUGAUACCCGAACCGUCGACCGUAUCGACACCGUCACCGGGUUAUCAUCGGACGUUUUUUGGUGUUUAAAAAUCUCCUUGUCGAGCCGCAAACUUCCCUCUCUUCUUAGCCCACCACCACUCUGCACAGCCAAUAAUCUAGCCUAGACCCUAGCGAGCGUCACAGACAUCUGAUCACGAUCCUACGGUCCGAAUUUGGACGAAAUCUGCAAAACCCAGCCCGUUGUCUAUAAAUAGACAGCCAAACUAGCCUCUCCUCGAAAUCCACGCCUCACAAAACCCUACCGCUGCAGCCUCUCUCCUCCCCUCAGCCGCCAGGCCCGCUAAGGCCCAGAUCUGGCCCUCCCGCGCACAUCUGGCAUGCCGCCGCCCCGCUCGCCCGAGGCCGCGCAUCCAUGAGUCGCCGCACGCCCGACUCUCCUCCUCUCAUGGUUGUCUCGUGCCGGUGCCCCAAUCCCAGACGCGACGAGGUCGCCGGAGAUGCACCUUGUCGGGACCCCGCGAGCGCCAUGCCGGAGUCGCAACGCUAGCACCGCCUCCCCUCGCCGGUCCCAAGCGCCGCCGCCGCCGGUACCGCGCCGCCCUGCCGCCCUGUGCCUUGAUCUCCGCCGCCGCUGCCCCGAUCCAGCCGAAUCCGGUCUGAUCCAGUCCGAGACGAAUGCUACAGCGACAGAAACCUUCUGUCGUCUCUUGAGGUUGCGUUGGUUUAUCCCUUGAAGAGGAAAGGGCGAUGCAACACAGGAGCAGUAAGUAUUUCCCUCAGAUUGGAUCUCUUAAAGAGAUUAGCCAGUGGAUGAGGAUCCAUAUCACUAGAUUUUCAACAAGCGAAGAUGUAAGCAUUUUGAAGGCUCAUAACACACAAGCAAACAGAAAGCAAGCGAAAUAAAAGGGCAAACGAAAAAGGCAAACGAAAAAAGGCAAACAUUUUUGAAUUUUUUUUCAGAAGUGGGGGAGAGGAAAACGAGAGGCAAAAAAGUAAAUGCAAGAGAUGAGUUUGCGACGCUUACUUGGAUGAGUUCUUGACUUGAUCCUCCCCGGCAACGCGCCAGAAAUUCUUUUGCUACGGCGACAGAAACCUUCUGUCGUCUCUUGAGCUUGCGUUGGUUUUUCCCUUGAAGAGGAAAGGGCGAUGCGGCACAUGAGCAGUAAGUAUUUCCCUCAGUUUGAGAACCAAGGUAUCAAUCCAGUAGGAGAAUCGCGUCAAGUCCAGAGUACCUGCACAAACACAAA